GAGAAGGUCGCGACUCUUUAUUACUCGAAUUUGACUGAUGCGGCGUCGUUGCAGAGGAUUAAUAAUUAUCCACCGACGAGGAUUCCGGAUAGGGGGACGCUUAAUGUGACCGUGAAUUGUUCGUGUGGCGAUGCUGACGUGUCUAAGCAGUACCGGUUGUUUGUUACGUAUCCGUUGAGACCGGGUGAUAGCUUGCAGUCGAUUGCGAGGAAUGUGGGUUUGAGUGACAGUUUGCUGCAGAAUUAUAAUCCUGGUGUGAAUUUUACUCGUGGGAGUGGUUUGGUCUUUAUUCCGGGCAGAGGUGAUUGUUUCUUCCUGUCAAAGAUUUAAUUUUGUGUGCUUUAGACAAUACUGAUACGAAGUUAAUGAAUCUUUUUUUUUUUUUUUUGGUUAAAUGAGGGUUUGAAAAUUGUGUUGAAAAGGGUAAUUAUUUGAUGGGAAUUUGAUGCAUAGCUGUGGCAUUUGUUAAUUUAAGGUAUGUCUGGAUUGAGAUGUUGUGGCUUUUUUAAUUUACAGCUGUUCUGUAACACACACCUCACCAGCAGUGGGUGGAUGGUUUUGUAAACAUUAACUGCCAAGUAAAAUGGAUAUAUACCAAAUGGUUUUGAUGUUCUGCUUACACAGUUAAGUAGAAGCAGGACAAUUACAAACCUAUCCUUAUAUGAUGAGUUUGAGGUUUAGAGGUUCGUAUAUUUAGUGAGGACAAUCAAAUGGGAUACGGGUGUUGGUCAUAGGGUUUGGUGUGGAGUUAAGGUAAAUAAUUAUCUUCUGGUUCAAAAGUUUGAUUGGACUUACUAUUUUAUAGUGGCUCAGGGUUAGUAUUGUACGUUGUAGAUUUUGCUUUAGAAUGUCUACUAGCUUCACUCUUCAGUGAAUUUCUUGUCAGUUGGUGCUGUUUGGAGGUUUGUGGGUUAGCAGGAGUUGUUAUGUAUUCAUGUGUGGAGAAGUUAGUAUGCAGCAACUUUUGUUUUAUGUUUUGGUUAUAAUUACUGGAAUAACCCUUUGUUUUGUCAAGCCAUUGGCAUAGAUGAUUUGAGUAGUAGCACCAUGCAGCGGAUAAGGAUAUUAUAUGUUAGAUACUUUUUUUUCCCUGUUCUAUAAUCUGGUGAAUUUUGUAAUGCUACUAUUUAUUAUGGACCUGUUAACCAUUUUGGAAGAGCAAAUCGGUAUCCCCUCAAAAUUGGGCAAACUGUUAACUAGAUGGGUUAUGGAACAGUAUGCAACUGUUCUGUACAUUCACAGUCUUUAAAAUGAUUCCUAUUUAUUUUUUGUUGUGUCUUAAGUUUUCUAUAGUUUCUUUCUAGUGAUAUUGUAGGGGACCCAAGUGCCAACAUUUGCUUACUGAAAUGCAAUAGAAAACACCAAGUUAUUGGAUUCCUUGGUUGUUAACUAGUGCACUCAUUAUAUUUUCAGAAAAUUAUUAACGGUUUGACCUACAGAAAUCAAGUAGCAGAAUUUUAAUUCCAUUGGCAUAUUGACUGGUUUCUCCAAAUCAUUCCUUCUUAUUGCAGAUGCAAAUGGUGUCUUUCCGGCCCUGGAGUCAUCAAGGUAACUUCUGCUAGGUCCAUCUUUAUGCUUACUAAAUUUGUUGUCUGUUGUUUAAUUUUGAAUCUUUUAUGAGUCUUCUAAUGUUCUUAUUUUUUGUCUUUCUUUCCCUUUUGCAGCACAGGUGGUUUGGUCUUCCCUGCAUGUUAGUUUUAUGACAAUUAUCUUCAGUUUGGAAUGCUGACGUGACAUGGUAAACUAGAAACUUAAUGCUGCUUUUAGCUUAUUUUUAACUUUUAUAUAAGCAGGAAUAGCUGGUGGAGCUAUUGCUGGCAUAUCUAUAGCAGGAGUAGCUGGGUUGGCUUUGCUUGCAGUUUGUGUGUAUGUUGGAUUUUACCGAAAGAAGAGGGUGAAGAGGGCAGCAUUGCUCUCAGCCACAUCUCAAGAUCUUUCCGUUCAGUCUGGAUCUGGUACUCUAUCAUUUUCAGCUUCUUGUUUGUUUAUUUUGGACAAAUGUGAAUUAUACAGUACAUAGUGAUUCCAGCUUCCCUCAAAUUUCUUUAGACUUAUCUUUCCUCUUAAUGAUACCCAAAAUUUAAUAUAAACUACUGGUGAUUGCCUGUUCUGAAAAUUUUAAGAUCUAAAGUUGUGAGAUAUGUCAGCAGAAAAUUGCUGUUUAUAUUCUUGUUUCGAGUCAACAGUAUCCAUAUGUUAAUUGCAAUACGCUGUCUUUUCCUUUUCUUUUUAAUUUUUAUCCUCUUCUGGUUAUGGAGCAUUCUGAUCGAUACAAUCAUCCUACUUCUCCAAUGUGUUUACUUUGUCCCCUCUUCCCCUCUCUGUGCAUACAGUGGAACAAAAUUAGCGUGCUUUACUGCUUUUUCUUGUUCUUAUGAUCUUGAAGAUGAUGAUAUCAAACUUUAAGCAUUUUUCUCCUUGAAUUACAUAGAUAAAACUGUGGAAUCUACUGGUCCAGCUGCUGGCACUCCCACAUCCCUUAAUGCAAUCACUGUGGACAAGUCGGUGGAAUUCUCAUAUGAAGAACUUUCCAAGGCAACUGAUAAUUUCAGUAUGUCCCAUAAAAUUGGUCAAGGUGGUUUUGGAGCUGUUUACUAUGCAGAGCUGAGAGGAGAGGUCUGUAGUUCUGUGCCUUUUCAUUUGUCAUAAAUUAAUUGUUGAAGAAGAGUCUGAUUCUGAAUUAUUGUAUACUAUUGUUUUAUUAGCUCAGUUCUUGCUUGUGUCUGACCAAGUAACAUUUUCCAUGCACCAAGUAAAUUGUCAAGCAGUGAAUUUGAAAUAUAUCAUUUGAGAUACCUUUUAGAUUUCAGAUGUGAAUGCCAGGAUAUUUCAUCAAUCGACUGUUAUAAAUAGAUCAUUUGAGACACCUUUUUAGAUUUCAGAGGUGAAUGCUUAGAUAUUUCAUCAAUGAACAAUUAAAUAAUCUAGAAAAGAAAGUCAUUCAAGCUUAUAUCAAGGUUCAACAUAAUUGCUUUCUGCAAGUUACAUAGCAUAAUCUGACAUCAUAAUAUCUUUACUGAAUUUUUGGCAAUUCAUACUUUUUUGGUUUGUGUGAUUUUGGCCACAAUUUAGGGAGCAGGAGGUCAUUAUGAGAGGAUCAGUUAUCCAUGGUUCUCAUAGUUGAGACAAGUAUAGGGAUAUGUGGCUUAGUUAACUGCAAUUGUGUUGGAUAGUUAAAAGUGAAUAUAAGAUAUGAAUGAACUUUGCUGCUUCAGUAUUAGGUUAGGUACUUUGCUGCUUCAGUAUUAGGUUAGGUUAACGUUGACUUGGGGGAAAUUAUUUACAUUAUUAAUGACAUGCGCUAUGCUUGUUGCCCAAGUGUAACGCAAUUUUGCCUUUUCUAAUAUUUCCUUAAAUUUCACCUUUGCGCAUGUUUCAGUGUGUAUUGGCAUACUGCAUGUGCUUUUUAUGCAUGGACGCAUUACUGCCAGCAUUGUCAACAUCAUAUUGCUUCUUUGUUAAGCAUGGAAAUUCCUAUCUAUCAAGACUCAUCCGUGUAAACCUCUUGAUGCAGAAAGCUGCUAUAAAAAAGAUGGAUAUGCAAGCAUCGAGGGAAUUUCUUGCUGAAUUGAAGGUUCUAACGCACGUUCAUCACUUGAACUUGGUAAUAUGCAUGGGUGGUCCUUUUUCUCUUUUUUUCCCCUUUUUGAUUGGUUGAUCAUAGACUGUUUACUUUGUUAAUCGAUUGGCAUUACAUGUCAUUAACAUCCAAUGCAGGUGCGCCUAAUUGGAUACUGUGUUGAAGGUUCUCUUUUCCUUGUUUAUGAAUACAUUGAGAAUGGCAACUUAAGCGAACAUUUACGUGGAUCAGGUAAAGUUAGAAACCCCUGGUAAGUAUUGUUUCUUGUCGCAGCACAUUGAGAGUAAUGCUGAUUAUAUGUUUCUCUAUCUUCAGGUAGGGAUCCUCUGCCAUGGUCUUCUAGGGUGCAAAUUGCUCUUGAUUCAGCAAGAGGUCUGGAGUAUAUUCAUGAGCACACAGUCCCUGUUUAUAUUCAUCGAGAUAUUAAAUCAGCAAAUAUAUUGAUAGACAAGAACUUCCAUGCAAAGGUUACAUUCGUACCUCUGUUGCCAAGGUGCUCUCUGAAGCCUGUUCACAACUUGUAAUGAAUCAUUGACAUUGCAGGUUGCUGACUUUGGAUUAACGAAACUGACAGAAGUUGGAAGUGCAUCACUCCCCACACGUCUUGUGGGCACAUUUGGAUACAUGCCUCCAGAGUAAGAUGAUCUUCUCUUUAUUAUUUUAAUUUGGCAAAGUAAAACUAAGCAUUAAUUGUCAGGAAUGACCGACUUUGAACAAUUGGUUUCUGGAUGCUUCUAGCAGCUUGCACUAGUAUUGAAUAUCUGACCUCAGGUGCAUUGAAUGUUUUUCAUGAUUGUUUAGUAAUCAAGAUGUAAUGCUUGCUAUACGUGGGUAGGCAUGCAGAGAAGCCAAAAUUUUAAUUAUUUUUAUAAUCUACUAAUAGUUUGGCCCAAGCCUGAGCCAAGACCCAGAGAUAUGUUCAGAUCAUUUUGGCUGGACUGGAAAAAAAUUUUUUGAGGGAAAAAAAAAAAAUUUGGAGAGAGGGAGAAUUGGAGACCUAAAAUAUUGAGGUGCCAGUAUGUGAUGUUCUCUGGAUGUAUUGAUUACUGCAAGAAAAAGAGCAUGAUGGAACUCCAAGGAUGAGUUUUGCAUUCUUUGCCUCAAAAAGAUAUAUCUUUUUUCUUUUUGUCUUUUAGAAAAUUGGACUAAACUUUUUUUAAUGCUUAAUAUAAAAAAAAAAAAUCUUAAUGCUUUGCAGAUAUGCUCAAUACGGUGAUGUUUCUCCCAAAGUAGAUGUAUAUGCCUUUGGGGUUGUCCUCUACGAACUUAUUUCUGCCAAAGAAGCCAUAGUCAAGGGUAAUGGUUCCUCUGCCGAUUCAAAGGGCCUUGUUGCUUUGGUUAGUUUUCUUGUCAUUUCUUUAGUUCCUUUAAGAGAGGUGAUAAGUGAGCUCAUACUCAAUGGUCUUGUCUUGAAAUAUAAAUCAAAGUUAAAAUCAUUCGCUGUCCACAUAAUGACAAUUUUGAGCUGAUUAGUUUCUGUAACAUAUCAAGCUUAUAGUUAGUUGGUUUUCACUUGUCUGACUCCACUCACCUUGAGCUGGUUGGAAGACCAGCCAUGAACAGUUUUUUAUUGUCUUUGUUUGCUUCACAGUUCGAGGAAGUUCUUAAUCUGCCUGACCCAAUAGAGGAUCUUCGUAAACUUGUUGAUCCUCGGCUUGGAGACAACUGUCCACUGGACUCUGUCCUCAAGGUGAGAACAAUUGUAAAGGAAAAGUACAGUAACAUUCUGUUUCAUGAUUUCAGUUUGUUGAAACAAUGUUUUCUGCUUCAAUUUCAGAUGGCCCAGCUUGCCAAGGUGUGCACACAAGAAUAUCCGCAACUACGUCCUAGUAUGAGAUCCAUUGUGGUUGCCCUAAUGACUCUUUCUUCGACAACGGAGGAUUGGGAUGUUGGUUCCUUCUAUGAAAAUCACGCUCUUGUCAAUCUAAUGUCGGGAAGGUAGUGACGGCGCCGUCCUCGUAUUAUUAAGUUUAGUCAUUUCACUAUCGUUUAUUGUCUGUAAAUGCAUAUGGUUGAGAUUUACCGCAAGGCAAUAAAAUUUAUUUGCAGUUUGUUAAGCUUGGAAAGAAAAGACUCAUGUUUUGGUUUUUUAAUCAUCUUCAUUCUUAAUCAUUUAUUGUUCUAGUUGGCAUCGUCUAUCUAAAUUUAAGGAUGAAAAUCUUUUGAUCGUUGUAACAUCAACAGCUUGCAGCUGUAAGGCCGAUUGUCGUUAUCAAUUUUACAAGGAGAUGAGUCUUUGUUGAGCAGAACAAGAAAAACUUAAAGAGGAAAAUGCUAUAAAAUACCUAUUCCCUGUGCUGCAAGAAACAAACUCCACCGUAGGGCCAAAGCUGGAAGCCUAAAACCGCAAUUGCCACUUGAGCUGUAGGUGUCAAUGCAAGUCAUGCAGAAUUAGAGCAUUCUUAAAAUAUGAUGCAUUUAUUAACUUGAAGCAGAAACUUGACUAUAAACGGCACAAAUGGACACAAAUACCAACAAAUAUCUGCUCGCAUUGGUUGGUAAGCAGAACACAGAAAAGACAAUUAACAAUGCGCUCUCUGUCUUGGGCCACAAGAAAAGGGCAUGUUUGACCCUGCACGUCUCGUGUCAACAUCAGUUUCCAGGCUCCAAAUAAAUAAGCGUAGGUUAAUUAGAAAAUCCUAAUUGCUAUAAGCCCAGAAAAGUCAACUGUUAAUUACCUUUUGCGCACGCACUUGAGCCAACCUUCUUUCUUUUUUGGCGAAACCCUUUUCACGGACAGUCUGGAAGAAAGAUUUCAUGGGCCGUACGAGCACAAGAUCGAUCUUCUCACUCUAUUUGAUUUUAUACAUCUUUUUCUAUUUUUUUCCCCUUUAAACGUAUAUUAAAAGAAUAACCCAGUAAAAUAUCUUCCUUCCCUUCAUUAGUCUUUUCUUUGCAUUCUCUCCAAAUCCAAUGGUCGUUGGUCGUAGCCAUGGAAGAAGCACACCAAGAAGAAGCGCUUAUCAGCCACCUGCUACAAGACCUUUUCGUUAAUGAAAAAGCGGGUGACGAGUCUGAGUCAGAAUCACUACCUAAUGCUAAUAAUCUUGAUGAGGUGGAAGAGAUUCUGGGUUACAGAUUUAACAACAAAAACUUAUUAGAAGAAGCUUUUACUGAUCCUUCAUGUCCCGAAAGGUUCUUUUCGUAUGAGCGUUUAGAGUACGUGGGUGACUCGGUGCUUAAUCUAUUGCUCACGAAGGAACAGUUCUUUCUGUACCCGAAUUUGCCACCAGGAUCAUUGACUCGGCUCCGUUCAGCCAAUGUCAACACAGAGAAGCUCGCACGUGUUGCCAUUAAAUUAGGGUUGCACAAGUAUCUACGCCACAACAAGCCUCUUCUUGAAGAACAAGUAAGUCGCACAAUGUUUGAACAUGUCAAUGCGUUAUUUAAUAUUUGUAUUAAUUAGCCGAUAAAAUUGAUGAUGUGGCUGUAUCCGAUUCAUCAAUGGUUGGUGCAUGCGGUUUGAUACUUUGAUAAAUGGCAUUGAUUGUGGUCGUGACACCUUAGACAUUUGAGUUUCGAAUUUUAUGGCAUCAAUUUCAACCAAAUUUUGCUAUUGAUGGGGAACGAUCAAAAAUUGUGUAGCUUCCAAGAAUUAAUUUAGUCCAGAUUUUAAUUUUUAAUUUUUGGAUGUUUCUAUGCCCAUAUAUAUAUAUAUAUAUAUAGUCGUUCUCUAUGAUAGAAACUCUUAUUUUUUUUAUACAUGAAUACACCCCAGUUCAUUGGAAUAAGUUUUUAAUACUAUUAAAUCUUAUAAUUUUAUAGUGUAUUAAAAAUAACUCUAUUAAGUGGCACAUCUUAACAGUACGUCCGCAUUAGAAAAAAUAAAGACGUCUACACUUAAGGAUGAUUUUAUAUGUAUAUAUAUAUAUAUAUAUAUAUAUAUACACACACACCUUGGUAAAUUGUGUUUGUAGUUCUUCCGUACACAAAAUGGAACAAAGGGUUUGUCAUGCUCUAACUUGGUUUAUGGUGUUGACUGCUUAUGUUUUGGGUAAAAUAAAAAUUACACUAAUUUAGCUUAGUUAAGAUGUAACGUUUUAGGAGUUGCGCUGCACUCAUCUUAAAUAUGGGGGUUUAAGGGUGCGUUUGAGAUUUGAGGUUGGACAAUUAUACCUUAAAAGUUACAACAUUAAGUGUUUGGUAACUACUAACUGCUGUAGUUUCGAAACAAUGUUAAAAUGAUUUUUUGCUUGUAUAACGGAAAAUUAUUGUAUCUUUAAUAAUUUUAUCAAAAUUAUUAUUUAAAAGUUACAUUUAUUAUAUAUUACUAAUUUUUAUUUCAUAAUUAUAGUUUUUUUUUCCACAACAACUUAAUCUCAAAUGCACCAUAAUCUUACUUUGAUAAUUGGUCUCGCUGACAAUUAUUAUUAACUUGUACAGAUCAGAGAAUUUUCAGAAGCUAUAUUGGACUAUCCUUUGCAUUCCAAUGGUCUAGUUGAUGCACCCAAGGUCUUAGCCGAUAUCGUUGAAUCAACAAUUGGGGCAGUCUUCAUUGACUGCAAUUCUUCAAUAGAUAUUGUUUGGAAGGUACUUCAAUGAUUUAAAUCUUUUCCCUGUCUCCUUAAUUUCUUCAUAUUUUAUAUAUUCUCAUAGUCUAGCCAUAAAAACAUUUAAAACUUUCCAAUGAUAAUAGAAAUAGAUAGUUAUUUGGGUCAAUAGAAAACCGAGUCGAGUUAAAACACAACAGCCACAAAUGAGCACUAAUCUUGCAUAUAAAUCAAGAACUUUAUUGUGGUGUCCAUUUUCUAUAUAUACAAAUAAAGUUUAUUCUUUUGCAAAUUAAUGCGGUUGUGUGAUUUUUGGCUGUCGGACAGGUAUUUAAGGAACUAUUAAAGCCAAUGAUUAGUCCAGAAACACUCAAGACACACCCAGUGACUGAACUUUAUGAAGUGUGCCAGAAGAAUAAAUUGAAAGUGAAGUUUGUGGAUUUGUGGAAGGAAAGCACGGCUUUUCAUAUUUUCAUAGAAGACCAACUUCUGGGUAGAGGUGCUUAUGCUCCGAAGAAGGAAAUUGCACAUAACAGGGCUGCAAAAGAUGCAUUAAACAACAUUGAGAGGCUCUUGAAUGAAAAAGAUAACUCUGAAAAGGAUGGUUCCGUGGACUGACAUUAACGAUCAAUUUGAAAUGUAAAGCUGCACGUGCUUUCUUUGUAUUGUAGAUCUUUUUUGUGAGAAAUAUGGAAUCCGCAUUGCACAGAUGACAAACUCGACCUUAAUUCUUUCUUGUUCCUGUUGUUGCGACUAGUAGGGGUUAUACCAUGUUAAUAAACUAAGUUCCCAUGACUUUCCUUCAUUAUUACAUUCAAAUGAUUAGUUCAACUGUUUAAGAUCUCUGGAGUUACCACAAUUGAAGGUUGGGUGUUCCAAAUCUUGCCUAUAGUUUAGAGCAGAUUUGCAUGCAUAUAUCGUGCAUCUUGAGCUUCUAAUAUCAAAUUUUUAUACGUAAGUUAGAUGAGGCUUAAACUUUUUAGCACUAACUUUGCAAUUAAGCCUUUGUUUGGUAUUGUUUUUUAUGCCCUAAUUUUUUAGUUCGCAACAAUGAAAAAUUGAAAAACUUGUUCAUUUUUUUCGUUUAAUGUGAACAAAAUGAAAAAUUGAAAAACUUGUUCAAUUUUUUCGUUUAAUGUGAACAAAAGAUCAGCUCUUGAUUUCAAAAAAAAAAAAAACUAAAAGAAAAAUGAAAAAUGUGAAUAAAAAUCAAGAAUUAUUUCUUUAAGCUGUUAUUCUCUAUAUUUUUCAUUAUCCUUAGUUGAUUUCUUUUUCCGAAUAUUUGAAAGCAAAUUCUGACUUAUAUUUUAAAAGCAGAUUUAUGAAUUGAACCAUCACAAGAUUAAUCCUCGAAGAUGAACGGGGCUAAGCGAUCCCAAAAUUGUGGGAUGUAAAAGUGCAUCGAUAAGAAAGUAUUUUGCCUUAGGGGGAAGCACCAGCAUCAUUAGUGAUGGUGGACGAAACAGAAGAAAGAAUGCCGACCUGAGUAAUUCAAAUAUUGUUGAGCAAUCUAUUGCCUUGAAAACUCAAGUGCUCCUCUUAGGGGAGGGCAGAAUCAAACUUGAUCCAAAAAAUUACCAAUUUAGUUGGGUUCAGUUUUUAAGAGGUUCGUUGGUAUUUUUUCUUAAAAAAGACUGAAUAAUUCAAUUCAGUAUAAAAUUGAAUACUCUAACUUAAUUUUUAGUUUAAAUUUUUUAUUCCAGAACUAAACCACAAAAUCAAAAAAUAAUUUUUAACUUAAGAAUGCCACGUGGGCUGUGGCAUUUAGGGUGGGCCAAAUCGAACUAGACCUAAAAAAAUCUGGUUCAAAUCGUUUUUUUUUUUUUUUUUUUGUUUCGGUUUGGUGUUUUAUGAUUAUCAAAAUUAAGGAUGCGUUUGGGAUUGAGGUGCUGUAGCUUUUAAGUUACAGUUGUUGUGAAAAAAAAAAGCUAUAAUUAUGAAACAAAAGUUAAUAAUAUAUAGUAAAUAUAAAUUUUAAAUAAUAAUUUUGAUAAAAUUAUUAAAGAUAUAAUAAAUUUUAUAUUAUACAAGUGAAAAAUCAUAUAAACAUAGCUUAAAAGCUACAGCAGCUAAUGUUUACCAAAUACUUUAGUACUGUAACUUUUAAGCUACAGCUGUCCAACCUCAAUCCCAAACGCACCCUAAAUCGAAUGGAAAUUCCCAAAUCAAUUUUUUGAAAUUCUCAAAUCAAACCAAACUAAAAAUUUCGGUUUAUUCUAAAAAAUUUGUCCACGGAAGGUGAGCCAAGGCCUACGAUUAGGCCGACAGGUGUAGUGGAUAGAUAACUAGUGAAUAUUCAUGUUUUGGAGGUAUUGGUAAUUGUUAAGCCGUACAUAUAUUAUCUUUCAAAAAAACAAAGUUUCUGAAUAUAUUUAGAAAUGUACUUAAAAAAAAAGAUAAAUUAGAGAUGCUCAAAAUUUCCCAUGAGUCAAUUGGUGGGCUCUAUUAGUGCUAAAAAUAGUACUACAAACACCCUAUAAGAAGUACUUAAGUUAAGGGCCUAGAUAGGAUUGUUUUCUAAAAACUCAAAAGUAAUUUUGAAAAGUUAAGAAUUAAUUUUAUUGCUUGAUAAUUUUUUUUAAAUUACUUUUGAUAAAAUCAUCCCACUAUAUAAUAGAUUUUGAAAGUUAAGAAAGAAUUAAUUUUUGAAAAUCUAAUUUUGAGAAUUAAUUUUAUAUUUAACACAGCUUGAUAUAUAUCCUUAUAUACAUGGUGAAAAAAAAAUCAAAAUUAUCCUUAUUAAUUAAGAAAUAAAAUCAUUAACAAUAAAGAGAUUAUUAUUACCAAUUAUAUUGAGAUAAAAAAUAAAAAAAUAAAAUUAAUAAUAUAAAUAUUUAUUAGUUAUCAAUUAUUAUAUUCAAAAAAUAUAAAAUAUUUUAUAUACUUGUUUAUAAAUGUGUAAAUAAAUGUUAUUCAACAUUAUGUCUAUUUUAAUUAUUUAUAUUUUUACAACAAUUUGAUAGUACUAUUUAGUACACAAUAUUAGGGUUGGCAAUGGGACGGGAUGGGAUGCGAUUUACCAAUCCCAAUCUUGUCCUGUAUAUGUAAGUAGGAUAAAAAAACAUCUCACUCCAGUCUCUAUAUAUUUUUGUGGGAUAAAAAUAUAUCACAAUCCCUUCCCAAACAGGAUGGGAUUCUCCAUUAGGAAAAAUUGUCAUCCCUAGUACCCAUAUAUGAUUACUUCUAAAAUAAAUUUUACUAAAUAUUUAAUUGAUUCUCGUCAUAGCUAAUUAUUUCUGCAGUAAAGGUAACAAUAAUUAUUUUAAAAGUGAUAGCAUUAUCUACCCUAACACUCAUUUAAAAGUCUUAAGAAACCUCUUAAACUAUAUGACCACUGUUUUAACCUUUACUAAAAAAAGAGAAAAAAAUUAGAAAAAAAAAAUCAAAGUGAGAGAUACUUUCUAUAAUUCCUUCGCUUUUAGAAGGGAGUUAUCUUCAAGAAAUUAAUUAAAAAUUGUUUUAUUAAAUUUUCUCUUUAAAAAACAACCAUAGAUGAGUCAAGUUCAAAGAAAGAUAGUGGGUUAGGUCUUCCUUGGGAAAAGAUAUGAUAAUGAAAAUAUUAUAUUUAGAAUCCAACCAAAAAUCUCAAAAAGUUCACCUACAACUAUAUAUACGAUGGGGAAAAACAAUUUAAAUGGAGUCAUAAUAGAGUGAGCUUAGAAUCGAUUAUGGAAUCAUAAUAGAGAGAGAUUAGAACAGAGUUUAGGGAGAGAAGUUGUUAAAAGGAAAAAUGUAAAAUAGAUUAACUUAUUAUUUGGGAUUUAUCUAGAAGGUUAUUUAUGGAAUUUUAACAGGUAUAAUUUGGAGGGGUAAAAAAGGGGUUUUCAUGAGAUAAAUUAUGGGGCGGCAGGAGGACCACUCAAUUAUAUUUUUAUUUUUUCUAAUAUAAAACAAGUGCCAUUAGGUAUAUAUGUGGGGUAUAGAUAGAAUCACUCACUCGGUUGGGCCUACGAACGUCAACGAAAGGCCCAGAUUAUUCUGGAAGCCCGACAGGUUUAAAAAAGAAUCCGACUCCGACCAGACAAAACAAAACUGAACUCGAUUUCCUUUUUAUUUAUUUAUUUGUUUAUUAUUAUUCUUAUUUAUUUAUUUAUUUUUUGCUUUUUCUGAUAUGUGAACUCGAUUUCCUUAUUCUUAGCGAACACGAAGCUUCGACUGUUCUUUUAACUCUCCCUCAUCAUCAUUACCGAUCACCUUAAAUACUACACCAACCCAUCUCAAAAACAAAAUCAAAAGAGGAAAAAAAGAAUUCUCGAUCAAACUUCAAAAAAGGGCGUUAAAAGAAAAUUUCAAUUUUGAAGGAAAAAAAUUAUGGAUUUUGAGCUGAGGAGAGCGAGAGAGAAGCUAGAGAAAGAGCAAAAGGAGAGGAAAGAAAGAGCGAGAUUGAAGCUUGAAAGAGAGAAGAAGGCUAAAGAAGAGGCUAAGAAACAACGUGAAGCCAUUGAAGCUGCCCAGAGAUCCCGUAGACUCGAUGCCAUUGAUGCCCAGCUCAAGGUACCAUUUUCUUCUUUCAUUAUCUAUUUUCGUUCUUGUAUUAAGUUGUUGAUUUGAUUACAUGUUUUUUUAUGGGCGUUUGUGAUUUAUGUUGCAAAUAAUUGUGUUUCUUUUUUUUUUUGUGGGGGGGAGCAUGUGUUAUAUGUUUAUUGAGGGUGACACCAAUGUGUAUAUCUAAGUAAAUUUGAUGAUGGGGAAAUUUUUUUUUAUUUAUUUGUUAAAUGAUGCAGUUGACCUUACCAGAUAUGAUUAUGUUGGCAUGAAUGUUAAUUAGAAGUUCUUUAGGCAUUGCUGAUAUUAUUUCCAUAAUUAUGUUGUAGUUUUAAAUGUUGCCUUGGAUUGAGUCGGCUUUAUUGACAAGGGUUUUUGAAUUUUUUUUUGGCAGGCUGAUCAAGAGAUGCAGGAAAGUUUGCUUGCUGGAGGAGGAAUUGUGUUUUAUCGUACGUUAGAAGCUUUGCCUUUUCAGGGCAGUGGAGAUAAGAUCAAAUUGCCUCCGUCCUGUUUCACUGAAUUGUCUGGUCAAGGUGCAUUUGAUAAGGGUCCUCUGCAUUUCAAAUUAUCAGUGCUUCACCAAGAAGGUCCAUCGAAUAUGGUAGAUGGCGAGAAAGAAAGUAAUCGGAGCACCCAUUCAGGUGUUUUGGAGUUCACUGCUGAUGAAGGUUUUGUUGGACUUCCUCCUCAUGUAUGGAGAAAUUUAUUCCCUAGUGAUACUCCAAACAAUUCGUUUGUUGAAGUUCGCUAUGUUCGACUGCCGAAAGGAACUUAUGCAAAACUUCAGCCUGAGGGGAUUGGUUUUGCAGAAUUACCCAAUCAAAAGGCUGUUCUUGAAACAAGCCUUCGCCAGCAUGCCACCCUUUCUCAAGAUGAUGUACUCACUGUCAAUUAUGGGGAGUUGGCAUACAAGUUAAAAGUUCUUGAGUUGAAACCCUCUUCAAGCGUAUCUGUUCUGGAAACAGAUAUUGAGGUCGAUAUAGUGAGUCCAGAUGAUAUGUCAGCGGGGACGGAUCAGUAUACGCUUAAGCCGCUUCUAUUUGGAAAGUCGGAAUCUGGAAUGGUUGAAGAAGGAAAGUAUGUGUUUUACAAGUUUACAAUUGAUGAUGAUACUCGUAAGAAAAUUGUAUCUGGGGAGAAAAGGGCUGAAGUGAGGGUUGACUCAGAGAUAGAUGGAGGAGACACUAGCAUUUAUGUAUCUAGGCAUCCCCUCUUGUUUCCAACCCGUCAUCUACACGAAUGGUCUUCUCAUGAUGCAGGUUCAAAGGUUGUAAUCCUUAGUUCCAAGGAUAAGUCUGUGGAUGUUGGUACAUAUAGCAUUGGUGUGUAUGGCUUCAAGGGCAUGACAAAGUUCCAGGUUUUGGUGACUCUUGAGGAUGAUAGUGGCCGUAAGGUGGGUCAAGAAGCAACAUCUUCCUCAUCUUCUAUUGAAAUGGAUACCGUGCAGUGUAAAAAUUGCAAGCGUUUCAUACCCAGCCGGAGUAUAGUGUUGCAUGAAGCUUAUUGUAGCAGACAUAGUGUAGCCUGUCAGCAUGCUGGUUGUGGGAUGGUUCUUAGGACUGAGGAAGCCAGAGACCAUGUCCACUGUGACAAAUGUGGGCAAGGUCUUCAGCGCAGAGAAAUGGAGAAGCACAUGAAAGUGUUUCAUGAGCAAUGUAGUUGCCCUUGUGGAGUAGUCCUUGAGAACGCGGCAAUGGUAAGCUAUUGUCCUUUACCUUGAAAUUCCUUAUGUAAAUCUUUUUUUCCUUUUCAACCCUUCAUCAUGCUGUUUGGUUUUGUGUUUUGAUAGUCUAGCUGCUUCAUCUUUUGACCUACUUUAAGAUCCUACAUGAUCCUCUUGUGUUCUUCUAGCGUGAGGAAGGAUGGUCAUUUGUUUUGCAUAUUAUCUUGUCAGUGCUAUUGUGCACCAUGCCCUAGUGAAAAACUGGUUCUUUAAUGGGGCCAUCAGAAUCACAAUAGCUUGGAUGCGAACUGGAUUAAAUAAGAUAAGCAAGAUAUUUGUGCAAUGAAUGACAAUUUUAAGUGACAGGCAGUAUUGCGUUGCAUUACUAGACAAUUUUAAGUGACAUGCAGUAUUGCGUUGCAUUACUAGACAAUUUUAAGUGACAUGCAGUAUUGCGUUGCAUUACUAGUAUGUCUUAAUAACCAUCCGCCAGUGCAUAUAUUAAGAAAGCCGUGCCCUUAUAUCUACAUAAAGUGGAAAGGAAAUGAUAAGAAAUUCUUCAUGCAGCAAGUUGUAGAGAUGCAAUAAAGCUUGAUGUUACUUUAUGGAAAUCCUGCAAGUUAAAAUGUUAUCUUUUGGGACUAAGAAAAUGUAGAAGUCUAAGAUACUGACUUUUUGCAGACUAUAAUUGGACUUAAAUUAUUGUUUAGGAAUAUCUGAUCAUCCGCUUUUUUUUCUUUUGACAGGUGCGGCAUCAAGCCUCGGAUUGCCCUCUACGCCUAAUUACAUGCAGGUUUUGUGGGGACAUGGUCCAAGCUGGAACAUCAGCUAUGGAUGUUCGGGAUAGAAUGAGGGGGCUAUCUGAGCAUGAGAGCAUUUGUGGAUCACGGACUGCUCCAUGUGAUUCUUGUGGGCGUGCUGUCAUGUUGAAGGACAUGGACAUCCACCAAAUCGCUGUUCAUCAGAAGAGCUAAUGCGGGGUACACAAUUUCUCAGUUCUCACACAACUGAGUCUCUGGCAUGGGUAUUUUAUACAUCACAGCUUAGACAUAAAUACAAUCUUUGCUGCAAUGAGAAUUCCCAUUUGAAGUGAAGAUCCACUUUAUCCGUAUUCACUGGAUUUCAGGAGUUAUAUAGUUGAUACCAUAACUGAUUUGGGUGCUAGUGCAUGGGCAAAGAGACAUAGAAAUGUGGAUCACGUGGGUUGUAAUGUUGCAUCUGAUGUAAUUUAUUAUUCGUUUCUCUUGAAUAAUAUGUUUUUGGGAUUUGGCUGCCAGUCUGGUUUCCAAACAAAUGUGAACUGACUUUCCUAUACAUUUUGAUCUUAUCUAAUUAAAUCACGCGACGCUGCAUGUUCUUUGUAUCAUGACAAUUGACUUUGUGGGUCAUAAACACUGCAUAUGUUUGUCAUCAGAUCUUCAAUCUCCAUAUACCGAGUCGGCAAAUUUGUUGCGGGUUGUCGCCUGUCGGCUGCUCAAAUUUGACAACUGUUUCGUGAUUGAUUUUGACUGAUUAUCUUGCACGAUCUUCUCCUUUAAUUGGCAAGGAAAUCUGAUACUGAUCAAAAGAGAACACCACUUUUCAUUUUGCGCUGUUUUGGUCUUAAUCCACCGUGCCAAGAGCCAUAAGCGAAAUUAAACACUCUAGUCCCCAUCAUUACCAAAUUCUUUUCGGAGAAAAAGGAAAAAAAUUGCUUCAAGCUCCCAGACUAUUUCCAGCAGCAUGUAUCAACUGUAUAUCAUUGUCACUUAUAAAUGGUGUUCAUUACCAUUUUUUUUUUUAUUACUCCAUUUUUUUUUUUUCAUUUCUGUUUUUCUUAUUCGAGAAUAGUAAUUUAAGGCCUGCAAUCACAGCACGACCAAAACAGUACACGAGCGGCACUUGUCAAUUCACAUCUUUUAAAAGUACUGGGAGCAAAGACACUUGUCAGUUCAUGGCCACAAUAAAAAAAAAAAAGGAAAUUUGUCCCCGUAGGAUGACGUAGACCCUUCAUGAGCCUUUUGGGAGGUUAUCGUUGAGGUUUCUCAUUUUUAAUGUUUUCUGAAAUAAGGGCCCUAGUUUAUACACUCAUAUCUAAUACGUCCCUGUAUACUUAAUAAGCGGCUAAAUUCUUCUUAUAUUUUUGGGUUAGGGUGUGCAACUUAAUAACGGAAAAGGACUGCUAGCAACUGCCUCCCAUAACCAUAAGUGUGAUUCGCUCUCUCAGCUACCUGAUACGUAUCUUCCUUUUUUUGUUUGGUUAUUUGAGCAAAUUCAACAAAAUAAUAAAAAAAAUCCUACAAUUUGUUAUUUUAAUUUUUCAUUUCAAGUUUAUCGUUCACUUUAAUGGUUCGAUUAUAGUUAUCUAAUUAUUUAAAUCUUCUCAACCAGUUCAAGUGCCUUUGCGAGUAACUAUUGCUAGUACUUCUCAUAUAUUGAGUGUACGUUUUAUACAAUUUUUUUAAUAGUCAAAAGUUUUUUUUUUAUCACAAAAGUUCUUUUCUAUUUUUUUUUGUGCCAUUUGAUUAUAUUUUGAGAAUAUUUUUUAGGUAUUUAAUAAGUUAUUUUACCUCUAUUCCCAAAAACUUAAAUUUUAGACUUUUUUAAAAAUAAAGGUUAUAGAGUCUUUUUAAGAAGUUAAAUUAUGUAAAAUACUAUUAUUUCAUUUCAUUAUCUUAAUUCAAUUUUUUUUUAUAACAUAACUUCAAAAUACUUGUAUAUUAAAAUAAUUUUGUAAAUUUUAAUAAAAGUUUUUAUUAAUAACUAAACAAUUAAAAUUUUUAUGACAAUAGCUUCAAUUAUAGAAGCUCUAUUUGGAUAAAUUUUAUUUGAAAAGUUAUAGCAAACAAAAAAGUGUACUUGAAGUCAUCUCAAUAGAGUUGUGGGUCUAUUUGGCACAAAUAUAAAUAUUAUGCUUAUUAUUAUUAAAUACAAAACAAUGAGGGAUCUCUAUGAUAAAAACUCAUAAUAAAUUUGUAAUUGACGAGAAGACUUUCCACAUUCAUAAAUAAAUAGUAGCCGUUAGAGGUCCCGGGCAUGCAUAAAAGAACCGGCCCUACGACUUUAUUACAAAACUUUAAUAGUAAAUUAAUGAAACCGAAAUAAUUUAAUGUGCCAGCCAAAGCAAAUCCUGUUUCCAUGUUGGUCAUUUUAAAACUUCCACUCUGCUUUCACAAUCUUUUUUCAUUUUUUUAUUUUUCUAUUUUUCUUUCUUUUAUAAAGAGCCAAGAAUGAUAAUAAAAUCUAUUAAGAAUCUUACUUCACUUGAUUCAGAAAAGACGCAAAGUGUAACGUUUUUAAUGGGGUUCUGACUCAUUGUGUUUGUGUCUGAUCUGUCACGCUUCUAGACAGUUACAACUUACAAAAGGCCUCAACUCCUCAGUGAGUCCAAACGCUGCGGCUCUUUUUGCUUCUCAUUGGUGACAUUUUGUGGGGUUUGGACUUUGGAUUUUGAAGUUUAAGUGAAGUGAGUAGAUUCAGUUUAAAGAAGGUAUGUAAACGGAUCUUUGAAGUUUCUUGCCUUUAGUUUCUUUGUUCAUUUGAUGGGAAAUUCUGGGGAAAUAUAAGAAAAUUAUCAUACACUUGUUUCUUUUGUCGUUUCUUGUUCCUUGUUUUGUUCUUGAUGAAUACAAUACAGUCUUUUUUUUUUUUCCCCUUUUCUUCCAAUUUUUUUUUCAAAACUCAGUGAUUGGUUGGUUGCUGAGAAUAUGGAGGGAAAUUUAUUGUUUCCAAUUCAAUGAAAGGGAAUUGUAGUAGUAGCUUAGAUGAGUGGAAUUUCUAUUUUUCCUUUUGUUUGUUUGUUUGUUAUUUGCAUGUGUGCUUGUGUUUGUUUGUUUGUUAUUUGCAUGCCUGCUUGCCUCAAUUUGUGUUUUAAUCAAGGAUCCGGCAGAUUAUUUUAGUCAAUCAGACUGGCAUUGGUUAAAUUCUUUUUGUUUCAAUUGAUGUUUCUUUGUUAUAAGAACUGUUGAAAUCAAAUGCUUUGAUGUCGGUUUUGCUAUGGCUUCUAUAUUUGAUUUCAUAUUUUCUGUUUCAAUUCUACACCAGCAUAACAUGAUCUGCAGUUUCAAACUUUCAAUAAUGGGAUGUCUUCACCAGAAUAUCUUGAUUGCUUUUUUUUUUUUUUAAUUUUUUGUUUAAUUUUUUGUUUUUAUCUCUUUUCCUCAUUUUUUUUUUUUAAUUUUUUGUUUUUAUCUCUUUUCCUCAUUCACUUUUAGUGUCUUGACUAAGAUGAUUGGCUUGCUACGACUAAAGGUGUCAUCCCUUUGAAAAUGAUGUAUUAAAGUCAAAAGUAGCUUUUAUUUUGAAUCAUGUUUUUCAAAAUGCAAAUUAGGAGUUGCUUUCCGAUUUUCUUCAAAUGAAUGGUGUUUUUUGUUUGCCUGAAACUUGUUGUGUCCAAAUGAAUAGCCCAUAAUAUAUUCUUUUUAAGAAGUAAGCUGAUGUAUUUUAUGAAGGCUUAUUGUUAUUAUUUUUUUUACAGGAAUAAAUUUUUAUCUUUGAAACAGACAUAUGGCUACACUUGGUGAUAUAGGAGUUGCUGCGACUAUUAAUAUCCUCAGUGCAUUUGCUUUCCUUUCGGCAUUUGCCAUCCUUCGGAUUCAACCUAUAAAUGAUAGAGUCUACUUUCCCAAAUGGUAUCUGAAGGGUUUAAGAAGCAGCCCUUUGCAGACCGGUACACUUGUAAGUAAAUUUGUCAAUUUGGACUUUCGGUCAUAUCUGAGGUUUCUGAGUUGGAUGCCAGCAGCCCUGCAAAUGCCAGAGCCAGAGUUAAUUGACCAUGCAGGAUUGGAUUCUGCUGUUUACUUGAGGAUUUACUUGAUAGGGUAUGCUCUACUGCAUCGUUUCUUUUUAGCUCGUGAAAUUGGCUAUUUGAAAUGCAUGAUCUUUUCUGAUUUAUGUCAAGAGGAGAGUUGUUUUAAUAAAUAUAAAAGUACUUGUCGCAAUUUGAAAAAUUAAUGGAAAAUUGCUUAUAUGUUGUCCUAUGUCAUUCCCUGUCUAGGAAUUAGUUUUUCUACCCAAAGUACUAUUUGAAAUCGGAAUGAUAUAGUAUUUUGAAUGUCUCCCUUUUGCCUGAAUUUGCUUGAUUUAUCUUACUGGACUCACUGUACUUUUUUUGUUUUCUUGUUUAAGUGCAGGCUCAAAAUUUUUAUUCCGAUUGCCUGCCUUGGUUUUGCUGUCAUGGUACCAGUUAAUUGGACCAAUAAGACCUUAGAGCAUUCUAAAUUAAAAUACAGCAACAUAGACUUGCUCUCUAUAUCAAAUGUUCCACUUGGAUCAAAUAGGUAAGCUGAAGCAUCUGAUUUUAAGGUGUGUCAGUAUUAUUAUCUUCUCACACCAUCAUUGUUUAUCUUUUCUUCCUGAUGUUUACACUUUGACUAAAGAAAUUUUUACAAAUUUUGACAUAAGUGCUGGAUUAUUUACAAACACGAGAUUGAUUUUCUUAUUAUUAGAUGGUUUAGCUUUCAUCGGAGUUAAGAACCAUGAAGUUAGAUUCUGUUUUCAAAUUUUUAUGCAAAUCAACAUGACAGUCAAAAAGAUAUGGCUGGUGUUGCCACUAUUAAAUGAUUUUCUUUUAGCUUUCAACAGAGUCAACCAUUUUGAAGUAGAUAUUUUCAGAGCUUUAUUCAAGCCAACAUGACAGUUAGAAGAUGUCGUCGAUUCUGUCUGUGGAUUGACAAGUUUCACUACACAUUUUCAGAAUGUCUUCACUCCAAAGAUUUUGUAGCAAUCUUGGCUCUUGGGCCUUUUUAGGGAUUUUUUUUUUUUUAAGAGGUAGGGCUUCUACAGCUUUUGGUUUUAUGUGUGUUUCAGUAUAUCAGCAUUAUGUUUUAUAGGCAUUACAAACUUAGUUGAAAGGCAAAGGGACUACAGGCUUUGAAUGGUCAGAUGUAUGACCAUUGGGGGAUUUCAUUUUAUAAAUCAAUUAUAGAGCCUUGGCCUUAUUGAUUUUAUUAUUUUCAUAUGGGAUCAUAUGUGUAGCACUUUGAAGAUAGUUGUGGUGAGUUGUAUUUUGGAAUUUCUUUUUUCAGAAUCAUUAUUCUCCGGUGCAAAUAUUUCCACCAAUAUAAUAUUUAAAUGUUGGCAAAGUAAAAUUUAUUCUUAUCUUGUGCAAACUUUGGUCGCAGAUUUUGGACCCAUCUGGUAAUGGCAUAUGUGUUUACCUUCUGGACAUGUUAUGUGCUGAAGAGGGAGUAUGAGAUUGUGGCGGCAAUGAGGUUGCAUUUUCUUGCAUCAGAACAGAGGCGGCCAGAUCAAUUCACAGUAAGUUAAAAAGUUGAGGGAUAUCAAGAUUGGUAUAACUAGUUGACUGUAUUUUGUACUCUGUUAAGAUGUGGAGCCAUUAUGGGCAUUGGUGUUUCUUGUUUGUCACAAAUGCACUACCAGGAGACGCUCUUUGUAUAUGCACUCUUUUGCAUGCGUAAUUCACAAUUUUGAGUUCAUUUUAGAAUAUACAACGAGAGAGGUUUGUUCAUUUUCCUUUAGCUUUUUGCAGCAUAUUGUGAGGUUUAGGAAUGCUAAUAAAUUAUUAAUAUUAUUUCAAGUACUUUCAAGUUGACUUCUUUGAUCAAUCAGGGAGCUGUUCCUCUCUUUUCAAUUAUGAUUUCUGGAAUUUGCAUCAUUUGUUAUAGGUGCUGGUGAGAAAUGUGCCACCAGAUCCUGAUGAAUCAGUUACUCAGCUUGUGGAACAUUUUUUUCUCGUCAAUCAUCCAGAUCAUUAUCUCACUCAUCAGGUUUGUUACAUUAUCAUCAUGCAAAUAUUCUUUGCCUUAGUUGCCUGCACAAAAAUAUCUUAAUAGCAUCUCUAGAUGCUUAAGUUCUUUGCGCGUCCACGCACACUGAUGGACAUGGGAAAGAGAGAAAUUUGUAUAAGAUUGGUUAUAUGAUUAUAUCAAUUUAGUUGAAACUAAUAAGCUUAUACUACCUCUCAAAAAAAAAAAAAAAGCUUAUACUAGAUUCUGCUAUAAGCUAUGUUAUGCUGAUCCUUCAAAUAUUAGAUGUACAACGUGCAUGGUGAUAGAGUAAAUGAUUCUUGUGAGUAACUAAUAUGGAUUUGGCUCUAAGAAUAAGAUCACGAAUGAACAACUGCAGAUUAACCAGGUCUUAUGAAACAGUAUCAGCUGACAUUUCCUGAACUGGACAGGCCAUUCAUGUAAAGCCAAUUCAUUAUUUUGCAGGAUUCUUGAUAACCAUACCCCUUAUUGUAUGUUUGGCUUGAAGAAAUGGAAGAAGAAGAGAGGAGAGCAAAGGAGGGGAAAAAAAUGAGUGGAGAAAAGAAAAUUUUCAUGUCAAACCAAACCAAAAAAUCACCCUUUUCCCUCAUUUUCUCUCCUCUCUCUCCUCCUCUCCCCUUUCCAUUUCUCUCCUCUCAUCUCAUUUUUUUCAACCAAAUAUGGCUUUAAGUUCUUACACUGAUAAAUUAAAUAUAUUUUAUUUUCUUGGUUUCAUUGGGAUAUGAAGGUGGCAUGUGGAUUUGUGUUCUCUAUACAGAACUUCAAUAACUUGUUGAUGUUUAUUCUUUAAUUUUUAUUUUACAUGUUGGAAUAUGUGGGCAGGUUGUAAAUAAUGCUAACAAGCUCUCUGAAUUAGUCAAUAAGAAGAAGAAAAUGCAGAAUUGGCUGGACUUCUAUCAACUUAAAUAUUCAAGAAAUCCAGCCAGAAAGCCCUCUACGAAGGUACUGCACAGCAAUUGAUGAACUCUUAGUCUUUUUUUUUUUUUGGGGUAAUGCCACUCAGAAUCAGUAGUUUUGAGCAAGAAUCAGUAGUUUUGAGCAAGAUUACUAAAUUUUUUGAGGAUUAACUUUCUCAUUAAGCAGACUGGUUUUCUUGGCCUCUGGGGAAAAACAGUGGAUGCAAUUGACUUUUAUACUUCCAAGAUUGAGACGCUUAAAAAAGAGGUAAAUGGCUUUUCUUAAUCUUCUUUGACUUUGUUCUUUCAAUUUGUUGUUUUAAGGCAUUACAUUAUUCUUUCCUUGUUUCUAAAGCCUUCUAGCUGACCUAUACUGUUCCAGCCUGAUGGCCUAUUUGUCUACAAACAUUUAUUGUCAUUAUAUGUCCAAAGGUUUUUUCUUCUUCAACUUCUAGAAUUGGAAUCUUGAAGCCAUUCUCAAUUUACUAAUCACUGAGAAUUCCACUUUAGUCCUUAUUUGUCAAAGAUCUCCAUUUGAAGCUGAAGCAAUACAAUCCAUAUGUGUGUAAGCUGAGCAACUUUCUUAGGCCCCAUUUUUGUGAUUGAUGGUUCGUAAUUUUGAAUGAAGCAUAUGAUGGUCAAUUUUAUAUGUUGCUUAUGUGCUUAAUCAUAUGGUCUUAUAUGAAUUAUUUUCAGAUAAGCUUGGAGAGAGAUAAGGUAAUGAGCAGCGGCAAAUCUGUCAUUCCAGCAGCAUUUGUUUCCUUCAAAACUCGAUGGGGAGCUUCUGUUUGUGCACAAACUCAACAAACCAGAAAUCCGACUCUAUGGCUGACUGAUUGGGCUCCGGAGCCCCGUGAUGUAUAUUGGGAUAACCUGGCAAUUCCAUUUGUCUCACUCACAAUUAGGAGACUUAUUAUUUUUGUCGCAUAUUUCUUCCUGACCUUCUUUUUCAUGAUUCCCAUUGCAAUUGUGCAAUCCCUUGCAAAUAUUGAGGGCAUUGAGAAAGCCUUACCCUUCCUUAAACCGAUAAUUGAAGUGUAAGUUUCUUCUUCUUUCUUAAAAGCCUAUAAUUCAUUAUUUUCAUAUCCUCACACUAUUUUCAGAUCAAAGUAGUUUUGUUUUAUAAUAGGAAUAUUUAUACAAAUCUGUUUGGGAAACCAAUCAAUGUACCGUAAAAGUUUCUGCAGCCAAUUGUAGGACCAAAGGGCUCCUGAAAUUAAGCUUUCAUUCAGUUGAAAUAUUUUAAGAAUUUUUUAAAUUUAUCACUUCUUGAUUUGCUAGAAGUUUUAUUGAAGUAAAUUUUAAGUUUUACUGAAAAUAAAUUGAAGAGAAUAACUAAAAAAGGAUAAUAUUUUCUUUUAACUUUGGUUUUAAUGUGAUUUUUCUGCGCAAUCCUGGCUUGAGUUUUCUAAACAUAAAUUAUCACCUUUUUCAUGCAGGAAGGUCAUAAAGUCAUUCAUUCAAGGUUUCCUUCCGGGAAUCGCAUUGAAGAUUUUUCUUAUCUUUCUACCUGAUAUAUUGAUGCUAAUGUCUAAGUUUGAAGGAUUUAUUAGCCGAUCGGCUUUAGAGAGGAGAUCUGCAACUAGAUAUUAUAUUUUCCUAUUUAUUAAUGUAUUUCUUGGGAGCAUAAUCACUGGAACGGCAUUUCAGCAACUAGAUAAUUUCAUGCACCAGUCGGCAAAUGAGUAUGUCCUUUUCACACGUGCUAGACGUUUUACAAUGAUGAUUAAACAAUUAUAAGUUGCAAUGUUUUUUUUGGUUUUCCCACUCUAUUGUAGGUUUACAAGUUGAGAAAAAUCUACUUUUGCUUUUCUAAUCAUCUAUAAAUUACAAGUAACAGUUUGCAUUAGAUAUAUUCAAUAGCAUCAUAUCAUUAUAUCAUAGCAGGAUACUCCACGAUAUCUUAUUUGCGACGCAUUAAUUGAUCCAACACUCAUAUGGUGCAUUGUAUAUCUGUUGCUAAUGUUAAUUGACUACUCUCUGCAGCAUACCAAAGACAAUCGGUACCUCCAUUCCAAUGAAAGCAACAUUCUUCAUUACUUAUAUCAUGGUUGAUGGGUGGGCUGGAGUCGCUGGGGAGAUUCUGAGGUUGAAACCUUUGAUAAUCUAUCACUUGAAAAAUUUCUUCUUGGUGAAGACUGAAAAGGAUAGAGAAGAGGCAAUGGAUCCUGGAACCGUUGGUUUUAACACUGGAGAACCGCAAAUUCAACUUUAUUUCUUACUUGGCCUUGUUUAUGCUGUUGUGACCCCCUUCCUCCUCCCUUUCAUAAUAGUAUUCUUCGCACUGGCAUUUGUUGUCUACCGUCAUCAGGUAAAAUUUCAGGGUUCUUCCAAAAGAAAAUUUUAUGCUCCUUCAGGCUUCAGCCAAGUAAAAUAUUCUUGUAUGUUUGUAAUGUAGGAGCAGUAAGAAUACAAGCAAAUCAUAUGAAUAGAAGACAUAUGCGAUCAGUUUCAUUGCACACCAAAAAUAUAUGAUCGUUUAUUUACCCUAUACUGAUUAACACUUAUAUUGAAUCUGUAGAUUAUAAACGUCUACAACCAAGAGUAUGAGAGUGCCGCUGCAUUUUGGCCAGAUGUCCAUGGCCGCAUCAUUACAGCACUUGUAGUCUCACAGCUGCUGCUGAUGGGGUUAUUAAGCACAAAAGAAGCUGCUCAAUCAACCCCAUUGCUGAUCACGCUUCCUAUAUUGACAAUAUGGUUCCACAGGUUCUGCAAAGGACGUUACGAACCUGCAUUUGUCAGAUAUCCAUUACAGGUAGGUUUAGCACUGCAAUUGCCACGCACAUUGUUCCUAUAUGAUGUAAAAUGCUAUCAUGAAGUGAAUAAUAGCUUGAAUUUCUGGCAUUGCCCCUCUAGUUUUGUCUUUAAUUUAUUCUUUCUUGCUUUGAAAUUGCAAAUUACACAAUUUUCAACGAUUUUUUGUUGGGUUGCCAGGAAGCAAUGAUGAAAGAUACAUUGGAACGAGCAAGGGAACCAAAUUUGAACUUGAAAAGCUUCCUCCAAAUUGCUUAUAUCCAUCCAGUUUUCAAAGAGGUAGAGGAGUGUGAAAGUGAUCCAGCUUCUGAGGAAUCGGAUCAGGAACCAGUGCUCAUCCCAACAAAGCGUCAAUCUCGAAUGAACACGCCAUUGCCAAGCAAACAUAGCGGUUCAAUGACAUCCCUUGGGUAACAUUCUCCAAUAAUGUAGGAACUGUUAACUUGCCGUUUCAUUGUACAUUCCAAUUCCCAGGAGGUUAGAUAGGUUUAUUUCGGUUCGGAUAUACAUUGUAAAUGUGAUGAAGAGUAACGCUAACGCGAGGUCGAAUUAGUAAAAGAGAGAUGAAUCUGAUAUCCCACAUUUAGCCAAGAUAUUUUAAUUUCAUUUUAACUAGGGAUGGCAAUGAAUAGCAUCCAUUGCGACUAUGUCAUUACCAAAUCUGCCAGCAAUCUGCAGCAUAUUUAAAAAAAAAAAUCACUUGCUGGGAGUUUUAACAAUUACCAAAUCCACUUGUAACCUUGAGUGGAUUUUUUGAGAAUUUUCUCAUUUAAAAUUGUAAAAAUUAAAAAUAUUUUUUAAUUAUACAUAAAACUUAAAUUAUAUAAUUCAAACCAUAAAUUUUGGACAAUAUCUUUAAAAUCCCGCUUACAAUAUUUAAUUUUAGAUUUUAUCAAUAUAAAUAAGAAAUUAAAAUUUCAGCAUUAAAAUAAUUACAUAAAAUAUUUCUUUUAUAAGUAAAUCAUUAUCACUAAUAUGAAUUCUUUGCGCUCCACUUUUAAUUAGUAUAUAAGUAUUGUUAAUAAUAUUAACAAGUAAAUUUUGUACAACUACUAUUAACAAUAGAUUAAACAAUUAAAAUCUAACUUUUGUGAGCAAUCACUCAAGUCAUUAAAGCAAAAUAAACAAAAUAAAUCAAAUUAAAAUAAAAUAUCAAUAAUAUUAAACUUAAAAUUAUAAAAUUUCUACUUAAAGUAAUUAGGAACCUUAACUUAUAUAUAUUUAUGUGUAAAUUUUUUAAUGUAAUUUUAUAAUUUAAAUUUAAAAAUAUAAAUAAUUAAAAUAAAGAAUGUGGGAUGACCGGUAUCUAGUGAAUUUUUUUUUUAAUAUCAAGCUUACAUAUAACUUACAGUAUAUUUAAGUUUAAAAUACUAAAUUCAUCCGUAAACAAUAAAAAUACCCACAACAAAUAAGAUUUUACUGAUGAGUCUGAGUAAUUUUACCAUCCUUAGUUUUGCCUUAGUUUAAAGAGAAACCGGCAUGUUAGCAUCUGCAUAAUCGAAGUUUGAGGGCACAAUAAACAAUGAUAUGAAUGCUUCACCUAGAAGCAAUACAAAGAGUGAUCUCCAAGCAAAUCACAUGUCCAAGUCCAACGCCAACAAGUGCACAGAUGCAUGCACCAUGACCAGGCGCAGCUCUGUGUAUAAUAGAUGAAAAAGCAAGUUAAUUCAAUAAGUAACUGAGUGAUUUCAUGGCGUCAAUAAUUUAGAUAAUAAUAUUUGUGUCAUAAAAAAAAUAUUUAUUUGUUCCACAAAUCUGUGCUGGAUUAAAAAUUAUUCACUUUAACAAUGUUAUUCUCUUACACUCUAUUUGAUAUAACCUUUUAAAUAUAACCUACUUAAGUAGAGUUUUUAUCAUUAGAAUUUUUACUUAAAAAAUUUUAAUUAUUUGGUUAUUAAUUAAAAUUUUUAUUAAAAAUUAUAAAAUUAUUUAAUAACUAAAUUUUUUAAAGCUAUGUUAUAAAAGAAUGAAAUGAGAUUGUUAAAUAAGUGAAUGAUAUCUUAAAUAUUUUAACAUUUCAUAAAAAUAUUUCAACUUCUACUUUUAAAAAUUAAAUUUUGAGCUUUUCCUAUUAAAAGUAUAAUAACUUAUUUAAUCUAUUAAAAACAAUCAAAUGAGAAUAAAAAAUUUGAUAAAUAUGCUUGUGAGGUCAAAUUAAUUUUUUUUUUUUAUAACAAAGUGUAACUUUCAUAGAUAAAUUAAGAGAACAAGUACAUUAGGUGGGUUGGGCAAGUUUCCAACCAAAUAACAGGUUCCACAACUUUUAAAGCUAAACCAACUAAAGUAUGAGCAAUACUACUACAGCUUCUGGGGGCAUGUUGACAAAUGACAUGGUUCAGUCUUUUCAGCCUUCCAUGAACUUCUGAGAUAGUCCAAAAAAUCUCCACUUUGCUACUCUUCUUUUUUGUGAUUAAAUUCACCACUUUUUGGCAAUUUGAUUCAAUUAAUCAGUGGGAUGCAUGCUGCAUUUUCUGCAAUUUCCAGCCCCCAAUUUGCUACUUCAGCUUCUGCAGAUGCUAUACUGCCAUAAUAUCUAGACUUUUUCAUAGCAGCAGUUAUAAACUCUCCUUUGUCGUUUCUGAUGGCAAUUCCCAGUCCAACCAAUUGGUCUUUCGUCUUGAUUGCUGCAUCCACAUUCAUUCUAAACCAGCCUUCAGGAGGUGGUUUCCAACUUGGCUGAGUAGGGGCUGCCUAAUAAUGUGGAUUAUCUUGCCUUUGGGGGGAUUUGACUCUUCUAUACGAUUCCACAGUUGCUUCAGCUUUAGCUACUCAUAUCGGUCAAAUAAAAACUUAUUUGGUGUGAGGGCUGUUACUUACAGAAUCUGUAAGGUAGCCCUCUCCUAAAAAAGUGACACCGCUUAAUGAUUUAGAUAUUAAAUUAAUUAUUAUUAAAAUAGCCUAUGUCGGUAUUAGAAGUCAUUCAGUUAGGACUGGGUAAACAGGGGUGGAGACAAAGAAGUGCCGAGAUUCUGAUCUUACUACAGCCCAAAUUUGUCCCACAAAGUUGGCCCUCAUUGGUAGAAGAUGGGCCCACUUCGCACCAACUCGGUGUCUCCUUUGCUCUCUUUCUUUUCUCUUCCCUAUUGGGAACUCGUUGCGUCAUUCACACCAAUGCUAUAUGUACCAACAUCCACAAACUUAUCCUUGGAACUAAGGAUUACAACCUUUGAACCUGCAUCAUGAGAAGACCAUUCGUGUAGAUGAUGGGUUGGAAACAAGAGGGGAUGCCUAGAUACAUAAACACUAGUGUCUCCGAGUCAACCUUCACUUAAGCCCUUUUCUACCCAGAUACAAUUUUCUUACGAGUAUCAUCAUCAAUUGUAAACUUGUAAAACACAUACUUUCCUUCUUCAACCAUUCCAGAUUCCGACUUUCCAAAUAGAAGCGGCUUAAGCGUACACUGAUCUGUCCCCGCUGACAUGUCAUCUGGACUCACUAUAUUAACCUCAAUAUCUGUUUCCAGAACAGAUACGCUUGAAGAGGGUUUCAACUCAAGAACUUUUAACUUGUAUGCCAACUCCCUAUAAUUGACAGUGAGUACGUCAUCUUGAGAAAGGGUGGCAUGCUGGCGAAGGCUUGUUUCAAGAACAACCUUUUGAUUGGGUAAUUCUGCAAAACCAAUCUCCACAGGCUGAAGUUUUGCAUAAGCAAUCGAACAUAGCGAACUUCAACAAACGAAUUGUUUGGAGUAUCACUGGGGAAUUCAUCAGCAGUGAACUCCAAAACAUCUGAAUGAGUGCUCCUAUUACUUUCUUUCUCGCCAUCUACCAUAUUCGAUGGACCUUCUUGGUGACGCACUGAUAAGUUGAAAUGCAGAGGAACUUUAUCAAAUGCACCUUGACCAGACAAUUCAGUGAAACGGGACGGAGGCAAUUUGAUCUUAUCUCCGCUGCCCUGAAAAGGCAAUCUUAUCUUCCAACAAGUUGUUUUAAGUGAUUGAUUUUGACUGAUUAUCGUCUCUCACGAUCUUCUUGUGAAGAUAUGUGUAUAUGGACUUAAAUGAAGAAACUGGAAAAGUAGAGAGCUGUUGUGCAGAUUGACUUCAGUUGAUGGGGUCUAUUUGAUAUCUUCCGCUGACGUGGCAUGAAUUCGUUCUGUGCAUAAUCUUCUGUAAAUCACCUGUGAUUGGGUUAGUUCUUGAUCAAUAAUAAUGAGUAAAUUUUCCUUCUAAGUUUGCUGGUCUGUGUCUUUGUUUUGUUUCUGGUUUAGCUUCUUUGUUCUGGCUUUUCUUGAUUCGAUUGUGUUCUUGGUGUUUCUACUUACCAAGAUUCGUGAGUCUUGCUGUGGUUUAGACUUAAAAUCUUAACAAGUGGUAUCAGAGCCUGGUGAAUUUCAACCAUGUCUCUUCCAAAGCAUGAAAUCGAAAAAUUCACCAUUGGUGGUGAUUUCUCGCUUUGGAAGCUGAAAAUGAAAGCUCUCCUUAUGCAUCAAGGGCUUGAAUCUGCCCUGGACGAAGAAGAUCCAGAGGCCUCUACAGGUUCUGGGAUUGAUGACAAAAGGAGACAAAUACAUAAUCGAGCUCAUAGCACUCUGAUUUUGAGUCUUGGUGACUCAAUCUUGAGAGAGAUCUCUGAAGAGAAGACAGCCUUAGGAAUUUGGAACAAGGUUGAAACCCUGUGUAUGAAGAAAUCCCUGGCUCAUAGAUUGUUCUUGAAGAAAAGGUUGUACACAUUCUCAAUGAGAGAAGGGGUUACAAUACAAGAUCACAUUGACACUUUUAACAAGAUCAUUCUUGAUCUUGAAGGGGUGGAAAAUGUAAAAAUCUGUGAUGAAGACAAGGCAUUCUUCCUGCUGAGCUCUCUACCAAAGUCUUAUGAAGGCUUUGUAGAUACAAUGCUCUAUGGGAGGACCACUUUGACUCUUGAAGAUGUUAAAGCAUCCCUCAGCUCAAAGGAGAUUCAGAAGAACUGUGAGCUUGAAACAAGUAAUGGUGAGGGGCUGAUUGCAAGAACAGAAAAGAAGAAAGAUCAGAAGAACAAAAAUCAAGGAAAAGGGCAUGGAAAGAACCAAGAAACUGCAGACAAGAAGAAAAAGAAAAGAAAGUGCUUCUACUGCAGAAAGGAGGGGCAUUACAUAAGGGAUUGCUUUGAGAAGAAGAAGAAAGAAAGUCAAGAAAAGUCAGGAGAUGCAGCAGUAGCCUCUGAUGAUGGUUCUGAUGGAUAUCAAAGUGCUGAUUUACUUGUGGCCUUAAACAGCAAUAUAAAAGGUCAAUGGGUUUUUUUCAUUUAUGUCAUGAAAAAACUUUAUUUUACAAAUAUGAAGCUGUUGAUGGUGGUAGAGUCUUAAUGGGAAACAAUAAUGUGUGUAAUAUUGUUGGUAUUGGUUCUGUAAAGAUCAAGAUGUUUGAUGGAACUAUAAGAUCUCUACAUGAGGUGAGGCAUGCUCCUAGGCUAAAGAGAAAUUUAAUCUCUUUAGGCAUGCUAGACAACUUAAGGUACUGGUGGUUUAGAGAUAAGAAAGGGGACUAAGAUAGUAAUGAAGGGGGUUAAAGAGAAUGGCCUAUAUGUAUUGCAAGGCUCAUCAGUGCCUGUUCAAGAGGGAGUUUCUGCUGUUUCUGAGGAAGAUAGAACCAAGUUAUGGCACCUUAGGCUUGGUCAUAUGAGUAUCAAGGGGCUGCAAGAGCUUAGUAAACAAGGUCUACUUGUUGGGGAUAGAAUCCAGCAGCUGGAGUUUUGUGAAAACUGUAUUUUUGGCAAAUCACACAGGUCCAAGUUUAACAAAGGGGAGCAUAUGUCUAAACAAGUUUUGGACUAUGCACAUACUGACCUUUGGGGGCCUGCUCAGGUCCCUUCCUUGAGUGGUGGCAGAUAUUUCAUGUCACUUAUUGAUGAUUACUCAAGGAAGGUAUGGAUCUACAUACUCAAGACCAAAGAUCAAGCUUUGGAAAAAUUCAAGGUCUGGAAAUCAUUGGUAGAAAAUCAGUCUGGCUUCAAGCUGAAAUGCUUGAGGACUGAUAAUGGCUUGGAAUUUUGUAGCAAAGUAUUUGAGGAAUAUUGCCAAAAAUAUGGCAUAAAGAGGCACAAAACAGUGAGGUUCACCCCCCAGCAGAAUGGCUUGGCUGAGAGGAUGAACAGCACCUUGGUGGAUAAAACCAGAUGUAUGCUGAUAAAUUCAAAGCUUCCAAGGAGUUUUUGGGCAGAAGCUGUCAAUACAGCAAGUUAUUUAGUUAACAGAAGCCCAUCUUCUGCAAUUGGCUUCAAAACACCAGAAGAAUUGUGGAAUGGAAAACCAGCAAACUACCAAAAUCUCAGAGUUUUUGGGUGCCCUGCUUACCUCCACAUCAAUCAAGGCAAGCUGGAAGCAAGGGCCUUGAAAGGAGUCUUUGUUGGAUAUCCUGAUGGGGUUAAGGGGUACAAAAUCUGGUGUAAGGAUCAAGGGAAAUGCAUAGUCAGCAGGGAUGUUGUGUUUCAUGAAUCUGUAUUGCUGAAAGAAAGUGCAGAACAUGAUGCUGGACUGCAAGACAAUCCAGCAGCUAACAAACGAUCUGGAUCUGAAACUUCCAAGGUUAAGGUGGAGCUAUUGACUGAUAAAGGCAGUGAAAAAGAAGCAGCUUCUGAUGAUGAGAGGGCCACAGCUGAAAGUGAGGAACAUGAGGUAUCAGAAUUGCCACAAGCUGACUUACAAAACUAUCAGUUAGCUAGAGAUAGAGUUAGAAGGGAAGUCAGAGCACCAGUGAGGUAUGGCUAUGCUGACUUAAUUGCCUAUGCACUAUUGUGUGCUGAUGAAGUGACAAUUGAAGAGCCUGCUAACUUCUCUGAAGCCAUGGAAAGUGUGCACUGUGACAAGUGGCUUGAGGCAAUGCAAGAUGAAAUGGAGUCACUUCAAAGAAAUCAGACCCCCCAGCAGAAUGGCUUGGCUGAGAGGAUGAACAGGACCUUGGUGGAUAAAACCAGAUGUAUGCUGAUAAAUUCAAAGCUUCCAAUGAGCUUUUGGGCAGAAGCUGUCAAUACAGCAAGUUAUUUAGUUAACAGAAGCCCAUCUUCUGCAAUUGGCUAUAAAACACCAGAAGAAUUGUGGAAUGGAAAACCAGCAAACUACCAAAAUCUCAGAGUUUUUGGGUGCCCUGCUUACCUCCACAUCAAUCAAGGCAAGCUGGAAGCAAGGGCCUUGAAAGGAGUCUUUGUUGGAUAUCCUGAUGGGGUUAAGGGGUACAAAAUCUGGUGUAAGGAUCAAGGGAAAUGCAUAGUCAGCAGGGAUGUUGUGUUUCAUGAAUCUGUAUUGCUGAAAGAAAGUGCAGAACAUGAUGCUGGACUGCAAGACAAUCCAGCAGCUAACAAACGAUCUGGAUCUGAAACUUCCAAGGUUAAGGUGGAGCUAUUGACUGAUAAAGGCAGUGAAAAAGAAGCAGCUUCUGAUGAUGAGAGGGCCACAGCUGAAAGUGAGGAACAUGAGGUAUCAGAAUUGCCACAAGCUGACUUACAAAACUAUCAGUUAGCUAGAGAUAGAGUUAGAAGGGAAGUCAGAGCACCAGUGAGGUAUGGCUAUGCUGACUUAAUUGCCUAUGCACUAUUGUGUGCUGAUGAAGUGACAAUUGAAGAGCCUGCUAACUUCUCUGAAGCCAUGGAAAGUGUGCACUGUGACAAGUGGCUUGAGGCAAUGCAAGAUGAAAUGGAGUCACUUCAAAGAAAUCAGACUUGUACACUUAUACCAAAUCUAGGAAACAAGAGGUUGAUCAGCUGUAAGUGGAUUUUCAAGAGGAAGGAAGGAAUUCCAGAUGUUGAACCUCCCAAAUAUAAAGCAAGGCUAGUGGCUAGGGGUUUUACACAGAGGGAAGGUGUAGAUUUCAAUGAAAUUUUUUCUCCUGUAGUGAAGCACAGUUCAAUAAGAAUCUUAUUAGCCAUGGUAGCUUUACUUGACUUGGAGCUGGAGCAGAUGGAUGUAAAAACAGCCUUCCUUCAUGGUAAUCUUGAAGAACAAAUAUUGAUGGCACAGCCUGAAGGAUUUGAGUGUAAAGGAAAGGAGGAUUAUGUUUGUUUGCUGCAUAAGUCCUUGUAUGGACUCAAGCAAUCCCCUCGACAGUGGUACAGAAGGUUUGAUGAUUUUAUGGUCUCAAAGGGCUAUCACAGAAGCAGAUAUGACAGCUGUGUUUACUUUGGUGGAUCAGAUCAAGGUGGAGUUGCUUAUUUGCUUCUGUAUGUUGACGAUAUGUUAAUUGCAAGCAAAUACAAGUCAGAGAUAGAGAGGUUAAAGAAUCUGUUAAAGGGGUAUCAGAAUUGCCACAAACUGACUUACAGAGCUAUCAGUUAGCUAGAGAUAGAGUUAGAAGGGAAGUCAGAGCACUGCUGUACGGCCAAGGCGGAUGUACGGUACAGCAGGGAUAAAUUUAUCUUUUUACCUCAUUUUGAGUUUGUGCACUGUGACAAGUGGCUUGAGGCAAUGCAAGAUGAAAUGGAGUCACUUCAAAGAAAUCAGACUUGUACACUUAUACCAAAUCUAGGAAACAAGAGGUUGAUCAGCUGUAAGUGGAUUUUCAAGAGGAAGGAAGGAAUUCCAGAUGUUGAACCUCCCAAAUAUAAAGCAAGGCUAGUGGCUAGGGGGUUUACACAAAGGGAAGGUGUAGAUUUCAAUGAAAUUUUUUCUCCUGUAGUGAAGCACAGUUCAAUAAGAAUCUUAUUAGCCAUGGUAGCUUUACUUGACUUGGAGCUGGAGCAGAUGGAUGUAAAAACAGCCUUCCUUCAUGGUAAUCUUGAAGAACAAAUAUUGAUGGCACAGCCUGAAGGAUUUGAGUGUAAAGGAAAGGAGGAUUAUGUUUGUUUGCUGCAUAAGUCCUUGUAUGGACUCAAGCAAUCCCCUCGACAGUGGUACAGAAGGUUUGAUGAUUUUAUGGUCUCAAAGGGCUAUCACAGAAGCAGAUAUGACAGCUGUGUUUACUUUGGUGGAUCAGAUCAAGGUGGAGUUGCUUAUUUGCUUCUGUAUGUUGACGAUAUGUUAAUUGCAAGCAAAUACAAGUCAGAGAUAGAGAGGUUAAAGAAUCUGUUAAAGGUUGAGUUUGAAAUGAAGGAUCUUGGCAAUGCCAAAAGAAUCAUUGGGAUGGACAUUAUCAGAGAUAGAUCUGCUGGCACUUUAUUCUUGAGUCAAGAGAAAUAUAUCAAGAAAGUUCUGGAGAGGUUUAAGAUGCAAGACUGUAAACCUGUUCAGACUCCACUUGGUCCUUAUUGUGCUCACAUAAUUAGUCAGAUAGCGAGGAACAAUUCCUGAUUCUAUCCAUCAUAUUUCCUUGUUGAACAACUCGCACCAAUAGGCCUACAUUAAUAACAAAAAUUGACUCAUCAGUGACUAUAAACGAUAAACAAUUGCACUCAUAAAACCAUUAAUUCUCACCAUUUGUAAUACAAAAGGUCCAAAUGUUUGUUGAUUUACUGAGGAUAAUAGGAAGUAUAAUCUAUCUUCAUUCACCAAUCAUCACAUGCAAAUAGGUCAAGGCCAACAAUGAAGGAAAUAAAUCAGCAUUGGCAAGCGCAAGAGCUCGUGCACGAGUGUGAAAAAUAGGGAAAAAGAGACGAACAAGUUGAGUUUAAUAAGUAGUAAUGAGUCUAAAAGGAAAUGUGCAUUAUUGCAGUAGCAUCAACUAUUGGAAACUAUGGUAGUGGCUAUGGACAACAAUGGCGUCCAUUCUAGAUUGCAUACAUGGAACAAGACAACAUAUGAUAAAAAAUUGUGAAGAUAUGUGUAUAUGGACUUAAAUGAAGAAACUGGAAAAGUAGAGAGCUGUUGUGCAGAUUGACUUCAGUUGAUGGGGUCUAUUUGAUAUCUUCCGCUGACGUGGCAUGAAUUCGUUAUAAUCUGUUAUAACGAAGCCCAGCACACUGAUAUAAAACAGAGGCUGACGAAUGGUGCCUGAUACAGUGCUAAUAUCGUCUUCAUUUGUUCAUCAUUUUGCAUAGAAUCUGUUUCAUUGUGAUCUGUGCAUAAUCUUCUGUAAAUCACCUGUGAUUGAGUUAGUUCUUGAUCAAUAAUAAUGAGUAAAUUUUCCUUCUAAGUUUGCUGGUCUGUGUCUUUGUUUUGUUUCUGGUUUAGCUUCUUUGUUCUGGCUUUUCUUGAUUCGAUUGUGUUCUUGGUGUUUCUACUCACCAAGAUUCGUGAGUCUUGCUGUGGUUUAGGCUUAAAAUCUUAACACUUCUCCUUUAAUUAGCAAGGAAAUUCACUGAUACUGAUAAAAAGAGAGUAUCACUUGUCAUUUUGCACUGUUUUGGCCUUAAUCCAAUGUGCCAAGAACCAUAAGCAAAAUUAAACACCCUCACCAAAUUCUUUCUUUUUGAGUGGUAAGAAGAAACGUUCAGUUCACAAUCUGAGUAUCUGAAUUCCUCGCGUUGUCUUUUUGACGUGUUUAUCUUAUCCGAGAAUGGUAAUUUAAAGCCUAUAAUCACGGCAUGACCAAAACAGUGCCCGAGCGGCAUUUGUCAAUGCACAUCUUCUAAAAUACUGGGAGCAAAAGACACUUGUCCGUUACAUGGCCGCAAAAAACAAGGAAAUUUGUCCCCUCAGGAUAACGUAGACCCUCGUUGGCCCUUUGGGAGGAUAUCGUUGAGGUUUCUCAUUUUUAAUGUUUUCUGAAAUAAGGACCCUAGUUUAUACACUCAUAUCUAAUAUGUCCCUGUAUACUUAAUAAGCGGCUAAAUUAUUCUUAUAUUUUAGGGUUAGGGUUUGCAACUUAAUAACGGAAAGGUCUGCUAGCAACAAUCUCCCAUAAGAGUGAUUCGCUCUCUCAGCUACGCGACACGUAUUUUCCUUUUUUUUGUUUGGUUAUUUGAGCAAAUUCAACAAAAUAAAAAAAAAUCCUACGAUUUGCUAUUUUAAAUUUUCAUUCCAAGCUUUCUGUUCAUUUUAAUGGUUCGAUUAUAAUUAUAUAAUUAUUUAAAUCUUCUCAACCAGUUCAAGCGUCGUGUAGUUGAGGUAGCGAUUGUAACAAUCGCUUUUUGUGAGUAACUAUUACUAGUACUUCUCAUGUACUAAGUGUAUGUUUUGUAUAAUUUUUCUAAUAGUUAAAAGUAUUUUUUUUAUCACAAAAGUUUUUUUUAUAAAAUUUUUUGUGUUAUUUGGUUAUAUUUUGAGUAGAGUUUUUAGAUAUUUAAUAAGUUGUUACCUCUAUUCUAAAAAACUUAAAUUCUAGACUUUUGAGAAUAGAGGUUAUAAAUUUUUUUUAAAAAAGCUAAACUAUGUAAAAUACUAUUAUUUUGUUUCAUUAUCUUAUUUCAAUUUUUUUAUAACAUCAAAAUAAUUGUAUGUUAAAAUAAUUUUGUAAAUUUUAAUAAAAAUUUUCAUUAAUAACUAAACAAUUAAAAUUUUUAUGAAAAUAACUUUAAUUGUAAAAGUUCUAUUUGGAUAAAUUUAAUUUGAAAAAUUAUAGCAAAUAAAAAAGUAUACUCGGAGUCAUCUUAAUAGAGUUGUGGGCCUAUUUGGUAUAUAUAUAUAUAUAUUAUGCUUAUUAAUAUUAAAUACAAAACAAUGAGGGAUCUCUAUGAUAAAAACUCAUAAUAAAUUUGUGAUUGAUGAGAAGACUUUACACAUUCAUAAAUAAAUAGUAGCCGCUAGAGAUCCCGGGCAUGCACAAACCUUUGCUAGUAAAAUAAUGAAAACCGAAAUAAUUUUAAUGUACCAGCCAAAGCAAAUCAUGUUUCCAUGUUGGUAAUAUUAACAGUUCCACUUUACUUUGCUUUCCCAAUCUUUUUCCAUUUUUUUUUUUCUUUCUUUUAUAAAGAGCCAAGAAUAAUAAUAAAAUCUAUUAUGAAGAGUGCAGCCUUUUUUAAUGGGGCUUUGACUCAUUGUGUUUGUGUCUGAUCUGUCACGCUUCUAGACAGUUACAACUGCAAAAGGCCUCGACUCCUCUGUGGGUCCACACGCUGCGGCAUUUUGCUUCUCAUUGGUGGCAUUUUUGUGGGGUUUGGACUUUGGAUUGUGAAGAUUAAGUGCGGUUAGAAGAUUCAGUUUAAAGAAGGUAUGUGAACGGGUCUUUGAAGUUUUUUGCUUUUUGUUUCUUUGUUUGGAUGAUGGAAAAUUGUGGGAAAAUAUUAGUAAAUUAUCAUACACUUGUUUCUUUUGUCGUUUCGUGUUUCUUGUUCUGUUCUUGAUGAAUAAAAGACAGUCUUUUUUUUUUUCCCUGUUCUUCCAAAAAAUUUUCUUUUUUCUUUUUGCAAAACUCAGUGAUUUUUUUUUUCACAGGAAUCAAUUUUUAUCUUUGAAAACGGACAUAUGGCUACACUUGGUGAUAUAGGAGUUGCUGCGACUAUUAAUAUCCUCAGUGCAUUUGCUUUCCUUUCGGCAUUUGCCAUCCUUCGGAUUCAACCUAUAAAUGAUAGAGUCUACUUUCCCAAAUGGUAUCUGAAGGGUUUAAGAAGCAGAUCUUUGCACACCGGUGCAUUUGUAAGCAAAUUUGUCAAUUUCGACUUUCAGUCCUAUCUGAGGUUUCUGAGUUGGAUGCCAGCGGCCCUGCAAAUGCCAGAGCCAGAGUUAAUUGAACAUGGGGGAUUGGAUUCUGCUGUUUACUUGAGGAUUUACUUGAUAGGGUAUGCUCUACUGCAUCGUUUCUUUUUAGCUCGUGAAAUUGGCUAUUUGAAAUGCACGAUCUUUUCUGAUUUAUGUCAAGAGGAGAGUUGUUUUAAUAAAUAUAAAAGUACUUGUCGCAAUUUGAAAAAUUAAUGGAAAAUUGCUUAUAUGUUGUCCUAUGUCAUUCCCUGUUUAGGAAUUAGUUUUUCUACCCGAAGUACUAUUUGGAAUCGGAAUGAUAUAGUAUUUUGAAUGUCUCCCUUUUGCCUGAAUUUGCUUGAUUUAUCUUACUGGACUCACUGUACUUUUUUUUGUUUUCUUGUUUUAGUGCAGGCUCAAAAUUUUCAUUCUGAUUGCCUGCCUUGCUUUUGCUGUCAUAGUACCAGUUAAUUGGACCAAUAAGACCUUAGAGCAUUCUAAAUUAAAAUACAGCAAUAUAGACUUGCUCUCUAUAUCAAAUGUUCCACUUGGAUCAAAUAGGUAAGCUGAAGCAUCUGAUUUUAAGGUCUGUUGUAUUUUUAUCUUUUCUCACACCAUCAGUGUUUAUCUUUUCUUCCUGAUGUUUACACAUUGAGUAACAAAUUUUUACAACUUUUGACAUAAGUGCUAGCUUAUUUACAAACAUGAGAUUCAUUCUCUUAUUAUUAAAUGGUUCUCUUUUAGCUUUCACUGGAGUUAAGAAUCAUGAAGUUAGGUUCUGUUUUCAAAUUUUUAUGCAAAUCAAGAUGACAGUCAAAAAGAUAUGGCUGACGUCGCCACUAUUGAAUGAUUUUCUUUUAGCUUCCACCGGAGUUAACCAUUUUGAAGUAGAUAUUUUCAGAGUUUUAUUCAAGCCAACGUGACAGUUAGAAAAUGUGGUUGAUUCUGUCUGUGGAUUGACAAAUUUCGCUACACAUUUUCAGAAUGUCUUCAUUCCAAAGAUUUUGUAGCAAUCUUGGCUCCUGGGCCUUUUUAAGAUUUUUUUUUUUUCAGAGGUAGGGCUUUUACAUCUUUUGGUUUUAUGUAUAUUUCAGUAUAUCUGCAUUAUGUUUUAUAGGCAUUACAAACUUAGUGUAAAGGCAAAGGCACUACAGGCGCUGAAUGGUCAGAUGUAUGACCGUUGGGGGAUUUCAUUUUAUAAUUCAAUUAUAGAGGCUUAGCCUUAAUGAUUUUAUUAUUUUCAUAUGGGAUCAUAUGUAUAGCACUUUGAAGAUAGUUGUGGUGAGUCGUAUUUUGGAAUUUCUGUUUUCAGAAUCAUUAUUCUCCAGUGCAAAUAUUUCCAUCAAUAUAAUAUUUAAAUGUUGGCAAAGUAAAUUUAUUCUUACCUUGUGCAUACUUUGGUCGUAGAUUUUGGAUCCAUCUGGGAAUGGCUUAUGCGUUUACCUUCUGGACAUGCUAUGUGCUGAAGAGGGAGUAUGAGAUUGUGGCAGCAAUGAGGUUGCAUUUUCUUGCAUCAGAACACAGGCAGCCAGAUCAAUUCACAGUAAGUUAAAAUGUUGAGGGAUAUCAAAAUUGGUAUAACUAGUUGGCCCUGUUUUGUAUUCGGUUAAGAUGCAGAGCCACUGUGGGCAUUGGUGUUUCUUGUUUCUCACAAAUGCACUAGCAAGAGACGCUGUUUGUAUAUGCACUCUUUUGCAUGCGUAAUUCACAAUUUUGGGUUCUUUUUAGAAUAUACAACCACAGAGGUCUGUUCAUUUUCUUUUAGCUUUUUUGCAGCAUAUUGUGAGGUUUAGGAAUACUAAUAAGUUAUUAAUAGUAUUUCAAAUACUUUCAAGUUGACUUCUUUGACCAAUCGGGGAGCUGUUCCUUUCUUUUCAAUCAUGAUUUCUGGAACUUGCAUAUUUUGUUAUAGGUGCUGAUGAGAAAUGUCCCACCAGAUCCUGAUGAAUCAGUUACCCAGCUUGUGGAACAUUUUUUUCUCGUCAAUCAUCCAGAUCAUUAUCUCACUCAUCAGGUUUGUUAUAUUAUCAUUAUGCAAAUAUUCUUGCCUUAGCUGCCUACACAAAAAUAUCUUAUUCUUAUUACUAUCUCUGGAUGCUUAAGCCCUAUGCGCGUCCACGCACACAGACGGAUAAGGGAAAGAGAGAAAUUUUUAUAAGAUUGGUUAUUAGAUUAUUUCAAUUUAAUUGAAACUAAUAAGCUUAUACUAGACUACACUAUAAUCUAUGUUAUGCUGAUCCUUCAAAUAUUAGAUGUGCAUCACGCAUGGUAAAUGAUUCUUGUGAGUAGCUAGUAUAGAUUUGGCUCUAAGAAUAAGGCUACGAAUGAACAACUGCAGAUUAACCAUGUCUUGUUAAACAGUAUCAGCUGACAUUUCCUGAACCAGACAGGCCAUUCAUGUAAAGCCAAUUCAUAAUUUUGCGGAAUUCUUGAUGACCAUACCCCUUAUGGUAUGUUUGGUUCGAAGAAAUGGAAGGAGUAGAGAGGAAAGGAGGGGAAAGAAAUGAGGGGAGGAAAGAAGAAGUUCAUGUCAAACCAAACAAAAAAAAUAAUCUUUUUCCCUCAUUUUCUCUCCUCCUCUUCCCUUUCCUUUCAAUUCCUCUUCUCUGGUUUCAUUUCUUCCAACCAAACAUGGCCUUAAGUUCUUACAUUGAUAAAUUAAAUAUAUUUUAUUUUCUUGGUUUCGUUGGGAUAUGAAGGUGGUAUGUGGAUUUGUGUUCUCUAUACAGAACUUCAAUAGUUUGCCGAUGUUUCUUCUUUAAUUUUUAUUUUACAUGUUGGAAUAUGUGGCCAGGUUGUUUCUAAUGCUAACAAGCCCUCUGAAUUAGUUAAUAAGAAGAAGAAAAUGCAGAAUUGGCUGGACUUCUAUGAGCUUAAAUAUUCAAGAAAUCCAUCCCAAAAACCCUCUAUGAAGGUACCGCACAGCAAUUGAUGAACUAUUGGUCUUUCCUUUUUUCUUUCUUUUUUUUUUUUUCUUGGGGUUAUAUCGCUUGGAAUUAGUAGUUUUGAGCAAGAUUACUAAAUUUUUUGAGGAUAUCUUUCUCAUUAAGCAGACUGGUUUUCUUGGCCUCUGGGGAGAAACAGUGGAUCCAAUUGAUUUUUAUACUUCCAAGAUUGAGACGCUUAAAAAAGAGGCAAGUAGGUUUUCUUAAUCUUCUUUGACUUUGUUGUUUCAAUUUGUUGUUUUAAUGCAUUAUUCUUCCCUUGUUUCUAAAGCCUCCUAGAUUACCCAUACUGGUCCAAGCUGAUGGCCUAUUUGUAUACAAACAUUUAUUGUCAUUAUAUGUCCAAAGCUUUUUUCUUCUUCAACUUCUAGAAAUGGAAUCUUGAAGCCUUUCUUAAUUUACUAAUCACUGAGAAUUCCACUUUAGUCCUUAUUUGUCAAAGAUCUCCAUUUGAAGCUGAAGCAAUACAAUCCAUAUGUGUGUAAGCUGAACAACUUUCUUCGGCCCCAUUUUUGUGAUUGAUGUUUCGUAGAUUUGAAUCUAGCAUAUGAUGGUCAAUUUUAAAUGUUACUUGUGUGCUUAAUCACAUGGUCUUAUAUGAAUUCUUUUCAGAUAAGCUUGGAGAGAGAUAAGGUAAUGUGAAGCAGCAAAUCUGUCAUUCCAGCAGCAUUUGUUUCCUUCAAAACUCGAUGGGGAGCUGCUGUUUGUGCGCAAACUCAACAAACCAGAAAUCCGACUCUAUGGCUGACUGAUUGGGCUCCGGAGCCCCGUGAUGUAUAUUGGGAUAACCUGGCAAUUCCAUUUGUCUCACUCACAAUUAGGAGACUUAUUAUUUUUGUCGCAUAUUUCUUCCUGACCUUCUUUUUCAUGAUUCCCAUUGCAAUUGUGCAAUCCCUUGCAAAUAUUGAGGGCAUUGAGAAAGCCUUACCCUUCCUUAAACCGAUAAUUGAAGUGUAAGUUUCUUCUUCUUUCUUAAAAGCCUAUAAUUCAUUAUUUUCAUAUCCUCACACUAUUUUCAGAUCAAAGUAGUUUUGUUUUAUAAUAGGAAUAUUUAUACAAAUCUGUUUGGGAAACCAAUCAAUGUACCGUAAAAGUUUCUGCAGCCAAUUGUAGGACCAAAGGGCUCCUGAAAUUAAGCUUUCAUUCAGUUGAAAUAUUUUAAGAAUUUUUUAAAUUUAUCACUUCUUGAUUUGCUAGAAGUUUUAUUGAAGUAAAUUUUAAGUUUUACUGAAAAUAAAUUGAAGAGAAUAACUAAAAAAGGAUAAUAUUUUCUUUUAACUUUGGUUUUAAUGUGAUUUUUCUGCGCAAUCCUGGCUUGAGUUUUCUAAACAUAAAUUAUCACCUUUUUCAUGCAGGAAGGUCAUAAAGUCAUUCAUUCAAGGUUUCCUUCCGGGAAUCGCAUUGAAGAUUUUUCUUAUCUUUCUACCUGAUAUAUUGAUGCUAAUGUCUAAGUUUGAAGGAUUUAUUAGCCGAUCGGCUUUAGAGAGGAGAUCUGCAACUAGAUAUUAUAUUUUCCUAUUUAUUAAUGUAUUUCUUGGGAGCAUAAUCACUGGAACGGCAUUUCAGCAACUAGAUAAUUUCAUGCACCAGUCGGCAAAUGAGUAUGUCCUUUUCACACGUGCUAGACGUUUUACAAUGAUGAUUAAACAAUUAUAAGUUGCAAUGUUUUUUUUGGUUUUCCCACUCUAUUGUAGGUUUACAAGUUGAGAAAAAUCUACUUUUGCUUUUCUAAUCAUCUAUAAAUUACAAGUAACAGUUUGCAUUAGAUAUAUUCAAUAGCAUCAUAUCAUUAUAUCAUAGCAGGAUACUCCACGAUAUCUUAUUUGCGACGCAUUAAUUGAUCCAACACUCAUAUGGUGCAUUGUAUAUCUGUUGCUAAUGUUAAUUGACUACUCUCUGCAGCAUACCAAAGACAAUCGGUACCUCCAUUCCAAUGAAAGCAACAUUCUUCAUUACUUAUAUCAUGGUUGAUGGGUGGGCUGGAGUCGCUGGGGAGAUUCUGAGGUUGAAACCUUUGAUAAUCUAUCACUUGAAAAAUUUCUUCUUGGUGAAGACUGAAAAGGAUAGAGAAGAGGCAAUGGAUCCUGGAACCGUUGGUUUUAACACUGGAGAACCGCAAAUUCAACUUUAUUUCUUACUUGGCCUUGUUUAUGCUGUUGUGACCCCCUUCCUCCUCCCUUUCAUAAUAGUAUUCUUCGCACUGGCAUUUGUUGUCUACCGUCAUCAGGUAAAAUUUCAGGGUUCUUCCAAAAGAAAAUUUUAUGCUCCUUCAGGCUUCAGCCAAGUAAAAUAUUCUUGUAUGUUUGUAAUGUAGGAGCAGUAAGAAUACAAGCAAAUCAUAUGAAUAGAAGACAUAUGCGAUCAGUUUCAUUGCACACCAAAAAUAUAUGAUCGUUUAUUUACCCUAUACUGAUUAACACUUAUAUUGAAUCUGUAGAUUAUAAACGUCUACAACCAAGAGUAUGAGAGUGCCGCUGCAUUUUGGCCAGAUGUCCAUGGCCGCAUCAUUACAGCACUUGUAGUCUCACAGCUGCUGCUGAUGGGGUUAUUAAGCACAAAAGAAGCUGCUCAAUCAACCCCAUUGCUGAUCACGCUUCCUAUAUUGACAAUAUGGUUCCACAGGUUCUGCAAAGGACGUUACGAACCUGCAUUUGUCAGAUAUCCAUUACAGGUAGGUUUAGCACUGCAAUUGCCACGCACAUUGUUCCUAUAUGAUGUAAAAUGCUAUCAUGAAGUGAAUAAUAGCUUGAAUUUCUGGCAUUGGCCCUCUAGUUUUGUCUUUAAUUAAUUCUUUCUUGUUUUGAAAUUGCAAAUUACACAAUUUUCAACAAUUUUUUGUUGGGUUGCCAGGAAGCAAUGAUGAAAGAUACAUUGGAACGAGCAAGGGAACCAAAUUUGAACUUGAAAAGCUUCCUCCAAAUUGCUUAUAUCCAUCCAGUUUUCAAAGAGGUAGAGGAGUGUGAAAGUGAUCCAGCUUCUGAGGAAUCGGAUCAGGAACCAGUGCUCAUCCCAACAAAGCGUCAAUCUCGAAUGAACACGCCAUUGCCAAGCAAACAUAGCGGUUCAAUGACAUCCCUUGGGUAACAUUCUCCAAUAAUGUAGGAACUGUUAACUUGCCGUUUCAUUGUACAUGCCAGUUCCCAGGAGGUUAGAUAGGUUUCUUUCGGUUCGGAUAUACAUUGUAAAUGUGAUGAAGAGUAACGCUAACGCGAGGUCGAAUUAGUAAAAGAGAGAUGAAUCUGAUAUCCCACAUUUAGCCAAGAUAUUUUAAUUUCAUUUUAACUAGGGAUGGCAAUGAAUAGCAUCCAUUGCGACUAUGUCAUUACCAAAUCUGCCAGCAAUCUGCAGCAUAUUUAAAAAAAAAAAUCACUUGCUGGGAGUUUUAACAAUUACCAAAUCCACUUGUAACCUUGAGUGGAUUUUUUGAGAAUUUUCUCAUUUAAAAUUGUAAAAAUUAAAAAUAUUUUUUAAUUAUACAUAAAACUUAAAUUAUAUAAUUCAAACCAUAAAUUUUGGACAAUAUCUUUAAAAUCCCGCUUACAAUAUUUAAUUUUAGAUUUUAUCAAUCUGCUGUACCGUACAUCCGCCUUGGCCGUACAGCAGGUGUUCAUUACCAUUUUUUUUUUUUAUUACUCCAUUUUUUUUUUUUCAUUUCUGUUUUUCUUAUUCGAGAAUAGUAAUUUAAGGCCUGCAAUCACAGCACGACCAAAACAGUACACGAGCGGCACUUGUCAAUUCACAUCUUUUAAAAGUACUGGGAGCAAAGACACUUGUCAGUUCAUGGCCACAAUAAAAAAAAAAAAGGAAAUUUGUCCCCGUAGGAUGACGUAGACCCUUCAUGAGCCUUUUGGGAGGUUAUCGUUGAGGUUUCUCAUUUUUAAUGUUUUCUGAAAUAAGGGCCCUAGUUUAUACACUCAUAUCUAAUACGUCCCUGUAUACUUAAUAAGCGGCUAAAUUCUUCUUAUAUUUUUGGGUUAGGGUGUGCAACUUAAUAACGGAAAAGGACUGCUAGCAACUGCCUCCCAUAACCAUAAGUGUGAUUCGCUCUCUCAGCUACCUGAUACGUAUCUUCCUUUUUUUGUUUGGUUAUUUGAGCAAAUUCAACAAAAUAAUAAAAAAAAUCCUACAAUUUGUUAUUUUAAUUUUUCAUUUCAAGUUUAUCGUUCACUUUAAUGGUUCGAUUAUAGUUAUCUAAUUAUUUAAAUCUUCUCAACCAGUUCAAGUGCCUUUGCGAGUAACUAUUGCUAGUACUUCUCAUAUAUUGAGUGUACGUUUUAUACAAUUUUUUUAAUAGUCAAAAGUUUUUUUUUUAUCACAAAAGUUCUUUUCUAUUUUUUUUUGUGCCAUUUGAUUAUAUUUUGAGAAUAUUUUUUAGGUAUUUAAUAAGUUAUUUUACCUCUAUUCCCAAAAACUUAAAUUUUAGACUUUUUUAAAAAUAAAGGUUAUAGAGUCUUUUUAAGAAGUUAAAUUAUGUAAAAUACUAUUAUUUCAUUUCAUUAUCUUAAUUCAAUUUUUUUUUAUAACAUAACUUCAAAAUACUUGUAUAUUAAAAUAAUUUUGUAAAUUUUAAUAAAAGUUUUUAUUAAUAACUAAACAAUUAAAAUUUUUAUGACAAUAGCUUCAAUUAUAGAAGCUCUAUUUGGAUAAAUUUUAUUUGAAAAGUUAUAGCAAACAAAAAAGUGUACUUGAAGUCAUCUCAAUAGAGUUGUGGGUCUAUUUGGCACAAAUAUAAAUAUUAUGCUUAUUAUUAUUAAAUACAAAACAAUGAGGGAUCUCUAUGAUAAAAACUCAUAAUAAAUUUGUAAUUGACGAGAAGACUUUCCACAUUCAUAAAUAAAUAGUAGCCGUUAGAGGUCCCGGGCAUGCAUAAAAGAACCGGCCCUACGACUUUAUUACAAAACUUUAAUAGUAAAUUAAUGAAACCGAAAUAAUUUAAUGUGCCAGCCAAAGCAAAUCCUGUUUCCAUGUUGGUCAUUUUAAAACUUCCACUCUGCUUUCACAAUCUUUUUUCAUUUUUUUAUUUUUCUAUUUUUCUUUCUUUUAUAAAGAGCCAAGAAUGAUAAUAAAAUCUAUUAAGAAUCUUACUUCACUUGAUUCAGAAAAGACGCAAAGUGUAACGUUUUUAAUGGGGUUCUGACUCAUUGUGUUUGUGUCUGAUCUGUCACGCUUCUAGACAGUUACAACUUACAAAAGGCCUCAACUCCUCAGUGAGUCCAAACGCUGCGGCUCUUUUUGCUUCUCAUUGGUGACAUUUUGUGGGGUUUGGACUUUGGAUUUUGAAGUUUAAGUGAAGUGAGUAGAUUCAGUUUAAAGAAGGUAUGUAAACGGAUCUUUGAAGUUUCUUGCUGCUGUACGGCCAAGGCGGAUGUACGGUACAGCAGAUAUCAUACUUUGGAGUCGAUUUUGUAAAAUUUAAUUUUUUACAAACAUUCAACAUACAUGUAAAAAGUUUAGUUGAUGAAACCAAUUGUUUUUUAUACAAGAGUUUUGAAAUUCGAACCUUAAGUACAUGAGUGGGGAGAAAAUUUAAUUUAUUAAAGAAAAUUCAUGAUCAAUUGAGCUACACAGACUUUUUUUCUUAUCUCUAUCUAAAUCUUUUUUUUUUUAAGUACUGAAAAAAUAUUAUUAUGAUAUAAAUAAAAAAAUAUUCCUACUAUAAAAAAAAAUUACCAAGCAAACUGUACAUUUUUGCAAUUACAUUCAAGUUGUGAAAUUAAACCAAAAAACACAUUAUAUAUACACUUCCCAGCUAAAUUGGGCUUGGACUGGGCUUUCUGAUUGGGCCGCAAAAGCCAACUCCACAGCGCGAGUAUUGCACUUUUUUCUACUCGAGCGAGUCCCGCCAACACUCUCUGUAUAUAAAAACCGCGGGAAUUCAACGUGAGCCGUCCGGUGUGUUAGACCAAAAAAUCCAUUCAAAACACAACAACGACCAAUCAGUCUCAAAUCUUUUUGAGCCUUUUACUGCAGCUGCCUCUGCAAAUAAUUUAAAUGGAGAAAUUUAAUAACAGAAACUCCAAUCACAAUCUCUAUUCAACUAAUCAAGCACCGUCAUACCAAAAUUCAAACGAACUGGUCAACGCUUCAAAAAUUACCCCAUCAAUUCGUAUCUCUCAGUUCCAUUUUGGGUUUCAAUCUGAAUUUGCAUCAACUUUAUUGUUUUUCCGAUGAAGCAAUUGUGUAUGAUUUUCUUUGUGCUCAUCGUACCGUCACUUAUCUCCGUCACCGUCGAAUCUAAGUGCACCAAAGGCUGUGACACAGCUUUGGCUUCGUAUUACGUUUGGACCGGCUCCAAUCUCACAUUCAUAGCCCAAACCCUAAGAUCUUCCCUCGUCGACCCCAACGACGUUGAAUUGACAACUAUUUUAUCUUACAACAAGCAAUUGCCGAACAAAGACAGUCUCCCUGCUGAUACGAGAAUCAACGUUCCGUUUCCCUGCGAUUGCAUCAACGGUGAAUUCCUCGGCCACGUGUUCCAAUUCUCGAUCAAUUCCGGCGACACGUACGAGAAGGUCGCGACUCUUUAUUACUCGAAUUUGACUGAUGCGGCGUCGUUGCAGAGGAUUAAUAAUUAUCCACCGACGAGGAUUCCGGAUAGGGGGACGCUUAAUGUGACCGUGAAUUGUUCGUGUGGCGAUGCUGACGUGUCUAAGCAGUACCGGUUGUUUGUUACGUAUCCGUUGAGACCGGGUGAUAGCUUGCAGUCGAUUGCGAGGAAUGUGGGUUUGAGUGACAGUUUGCUGCAGAAUUAUAAUCCUGGUGUGAAUUUUACUCGUGGGAGUGGUUUGGUCUUUAUUCCGGGCAGAGGUGAUUGUUUCUUCCUGUCAAAGAUUUAAUUUUGUGUGCUUUAGACAAUACUGAUACGAAGUUAAUGAAUCUUUUUUUUUUUUUUUUGGUUAAAUGAGGGUUUGAAAAUUGUGUUGAAAAGGGUAAUUAUUUGAUGGGAAUUUGAUGCAUAGCUGUGGCAUUUGUUAAUUUAAGGUAUGUCUGGAUUGAGAUGUUGUGGCUUUUUUAAUUUACAGCUGUUCUGUAACACACACCUCACCAGCAGUGGGUGGAUGGUUUUGUAAACAUUAACUGCCAAGUAAAAUGGAUAUAUACCAAAUGGUUUUGAUGUUCUGCUUACACAGUUAAGUAGAAGCAGGACAAUUACAAACCUAUCCUUAUAUGAUGAGUUUGAGGUUUAGAGGUUCGUAUAUUUAGUGAGGACAAUCAAAUGGGAUACGGGUGUUGGUCAUAGGGUUUGGUGUGGAGUUAAGGUAAAUAAUUAUCUUCUGGUUCAAAAGUUUGAUUGGACUUACUAUUUUAUAGUGGCUCAGGGUUAGUAUUGUACGUUGUAGAUUUUGCUUUAGAAUGUCUACUAGCUUCACUCUUCAGUGAAUUUCUUGUCAGUUGGUGCUGUUUGGAGGUUUGUGGGUUAGCAGGAGUUGUUAUGUAUUCAUGUGUGGAGAAGUUAGUAUGCAGCAACUUUUGUUUUAUGUUUUGGUUAUAAUUACUGGAAUAACCCUUUGUUUUGUCAAGCCAUUGGCAUAGAUGAUUUGAGUAGUAGCACCAUGCAGCGGAUAAGGAUAUUAUAUGUUAGAUACUUUUUUUUCCCUGUUCUAUAAUCUGGUGAAUUUUGUAAUGCUACUAUUUAUUAUGGACCUGUUAACCAUUUUGGAAGAGCAAAUCGGUAUCCCCUCAAAAUUGGGCAAACUGUUAACUAGAUGGGU
rnacentral:lncRNA from 1 species